GUAUUAAGCCAACCAAACAAAAGGCUUUUGCCAAGCACUUCGAGUUCUUGCCUGAUGUUUCAAUUUACGACAACGGUAUUAAGCCAACCAAACAAAAGUUCUUCGCCAAGGACUUCGAGCUCAUGCCUGAUGUUUCUAUUUAUGACAAUGGUGUAAAGCUAGCCAAACAAAGGUUCUCCGCCAAGGACUUCGAACUCAUACCUGAUAUUUCAAUUUAUAACAAUGGUGUAGAGCUAGCCAAACAGAAGGCAUUCGCCAAAGGCUUCGAGCUCAUGCCUGAUGUUUCAAUUUAUGACAAUGAUAUUAAACCAACGAAGAAGAGUUCAUAUGCCAAGGACUUUGAGCUGAAGGCUGAUAUUUCAAUUCAUGAACCGACCGAACAAAAAUAGGUAAUUAGCAUUACGGAUCUGCAGCCAGAUGCUACAAUUUAUCAUAAUUAAAUAGAUGAUCAUGCUUGUAAUCAGGCGCAGGAUGGAGUCUCUUACCAUAUUUAAUGUUCUAGAAGAGUAGCCACAUACGUGCAAUAACGCUUUCCUUGUUUGUGUGUGUUGUCAAAAGCGCUGUUUCUAAAGUAAUGUAAUAAGUGCUGAAAUAACCCAUGCAAUAAAAUCAUGUCAUGCGUCUUUAAUUUUUUUUUUCUCUCUCUCUUAAACAAUCUUAUGAUAGAUUAUUUACAAGUUAUAAUUUAUAAAGAGAGAAACUAUAUUAAAAUAAUGCUUUUUACAUAAAUAUUCUAUCCAUUAAUCUCGUAUAGCUAAUUAAGUUUGUUUUUUUUUUUUUUAUUUACAACGACAUCCUUAGAUGUUUAAAUUGUUUUUUUUUUAAAGGUAAAAGGGUUGGGUCAAUCAAAAUUAAUUUUUUCACCCUGAUCUCUUUGAGAUUCGAACUUAGGUGGCUAGCUAACUAAGAUUAUUUGAAACCAUUCGGUUGGGUUUCUAGGGGCCUUGGAUGUUUAAAAUUUGUAUUUUGAAUUGUUAUUCAGAUGGAACAAUAUAAUUAACUUUAAUUUCAAAGUCAAUUUGACCCUAUUUAAUUUUGAGAUGCUGUUACUUUUAAACUAGCUACUUGGGAAAAAAAAAAGUCGUAACCUUAAAAUAAAAAGUGAUACUGUGUGGAAAAUAUGAUUUUAAAUAAUAAUUUUGACAAAAUAGCAAAGAAAUAUUAUUUAAAUUAUUAUUACCAGCCAAACAAAAAUAGGUUUUUUAUUAUACAAAUGCAAGAUCAAAUCAACUUAAUUUUUGAGUUACAACAACUACUACUUACUAAACACUUUGAUGUCAAUACCAAAUAGGCCUCUUUUUUCCUCUCCCUCUCUAAUUUGUAAGACUACCCAACCAUAUAUUGUAUAAUAUUCAAUUAUUAUAUUAACUAGUUUUAUUUUCUUAUGAUCACAUGAUAUCUUUUUUUUUUCAAGAAUCUGAACAGAUAAUGGUUUUAAAGCUCAGAAGUAGAUCUGAUUCUAAAUAUUUGGAAAUUGAAAAAAAAAAAAAACUAAUUCACAUUUGCAGAAGAAGGUAUGUACUUGAUAACUUGAACGCCAUGAUGGUAUAUAAUUAAAUUUAACUAUUGUUAUAUUUUUAUUUAUUAAUCACUAAUUAUUCACGAUGAAUUUUAUUUGAAUAAGUUCAUAUCAUGAUAGAAUCUUAAUUCAAAUACAUAUGAAAAAAAAAAUCUAUGACUGCACUAAUAAGAUAUUUCAUUUAAUCAUGUGAUAUUAAAAUGAAAAUUAUGAUAGAUAAACUUAAAUUUUCCAUUUUCCCCCCUUUAUCAUCUCACAUGGGCCACUUCAAUUCGCUGAAAUCCUGAUGCUUCGGCCUCCAGAUGUAAAAGAACAUGAGUCACAUAUAGUAUUGGUAGAUGCGUGAAUGGAUCACAUCUCACUCAACCAACAAAUUGCAUGUCAUCUGGAAAAUGAUUUAAAUAAAUGAACAAAUACUCAGUCCUCUAUUUUAAGUUAAGUAUUUGUUUAUUCCUUAUAUUUUAAAAAUAUCUCAAAAUAAGUUGUAGUUAAAUAUAUUACAUUCUUAAUCUUGUUUUUGCUUUGCUUUUAUAAUAAUGCCCUUAUAAUAAUAUUCUUGACAUUAAUUAAUUUAUCUAUAAAAUUUUAAUUAGAAAAUUAACCAAUAAUUAUUUAGUAAUAAAUUAACCAAUAAAUAUUAGUACAAAAGAACUAAUAUUUUUUGUACAUGUGCGACAAUCGUGCUAAUAAUUUAUUUAUAAAUAAAAUUAAUAUUAGUCAACUUAAAGUAAUGCUUAUCAUCCUUGCAAUAAUUUUACUAAUAAUUAUUUUAUAAAAAAUUAAUUUACCAAAUUAAUCCUAAAAGUAAAAUAAUAACAUAAAAAAAAAUUACUGUAAAAAUUUUUAUGCUACUUUGAAGGCUAAUUUGAUAAAGAAUGGAACUACUAGCACUCCUUCAAAAUCUUUUUAAGACCCCUUUUUAAAUACACCCAAUCAAAUAAAUGAAAAAUUAUAUCACUUCUAAAAACAACCAUCUUUAUUCCACAAUUGUCCUUCAAUCUUAUCUCUCAUAAAAUGAUAAAAUUACAAAAAUAAAAAUCUUUUUGUGGAUACUAUUGCAAUAAUGAUCAUUAGCAUUCUUCACAAAUUUGAUUAACAAGUAUGGAAUGGUAUGUAACUUUAGAUUUCUAAAUUUUAACUUUUCUUUAUGUUUUGCAACAAAUAUACCUUCUAUUUUAAUAUAUGAUACCUAUUAAUUUAAUUUUUUUCAAAUAACAAAACUCACUUGUUCAAACAAACAAUGAGACCAAAAAAAGCAAGGGAAAAAAAGUGAACAAAUAAAAGGUAGAACUACUUGACACAUAAAAACUUUAAAAAAAAAUGAAAAAGAAGAGAUCUAGUAAAAGAAGUAUGAGUAUAAAAUAAGCCAGGCAAUGAAAGAAUCAUAGCUUUUCGACAAAUUCCAUGUCAAUGUCCUUUUGGAAUAAAUUUUUAAUGUUAUCUAUUUGAAUAAUGAUGGUGGUUGAGUUUCCACUUUCCAUUAUGCUCUCGAAUGUAAGCUUCUGAUGCGUCUUCUAAAAUAAUUCUAGAUAUUUUAUUUUAAAUUUAUUUGAAUUUGUAAGUUACCCUUUUAAUUGCGGUUAUCAUGUAAACAAUUGUUGCCAAAUCAUAAACAAAAUCCUGAGUAGGGACGAUAAUGGGACGGUUUUGAUCGAUGAUCCACUUAAUCUAAAUCUAAAUUUAUCAUAUUUGGAUCAGUAUAAAAUGAAUUUGGAGUGGGUACAUAUGAAUCUAGAUGAGUAAAUUCAAAACAAAUUUAAAGCACGUAUACAAAUCUAACUUAAAAUUCGGAUCCGUAUCCAUAUCUAAUUAGAAAUCUUUUAAUUUUAUUUUAUUUUUAAAAGUAUUAAACUAUCGAUGGUUUAAUACUUUUACAAUCAAAUUAAACUUAUACCUAGCUUACUGAAAUCAAUACCACAUUUAUGAGAUGCAAUAUAUUAUCAGUUUUAUAUGAAAUUCAAAGUAUUAUUUUUAAUUUUAUUUAAGAUGAAUUAUGUGUUUUAGUUGAUAGUAAGACGUUUUUUUCUCAAAUAUUUUUGUGCUCUUAUUAUUCUUAUGAGGCUUGAAAGUUUAAUAAGAUAAAUUUAUUAAUAUUCUAUUAUAAUAUAUAAAAUUUUAAAAUUAAAAUUGAUAAAUCCAAGAUAGAUUUGGAGCAAAUCCGAACCUUUAUUUUAAAUUUGAACUUAAAUAUACAGUAAAAAUCAUAAAUCUAUAAUGAAUUUAGAGUAAAUACAAAUCUCAAUUUUUAUUAUUAAUCAAGAAUUAGAACAGAAUAGAUCCAGCUGAUAUAUAUGUCCCAUUGUCAUCCCUGUGACUGAUGAAAAGAUAUAGGAAAAUAAACAGGAGUUUAAUAAGCUAGACAAUAAAAGAAUCAUAUAUAGCAAUGAUUGAUUCUUUCUUCCUAUCCUUAUGAAAUCUUUCUCAAUGUCUUUUCUACGAAAUCUUUUUUAAUGUCCUUUUCGAAAAUAUCACCCUUCAGCCAAUGACUUUGAGCUGAAGGCUGGUAUUUCAAUUCAUGAACCAACCGAACAAAAAUCGUUUGUCAACAAUAUGGAUCAGCAGCCAGAAGCUACAAUUUAUCAUUAUUAAAUAGGUGAUCAUGCUUGCAACCAGGCGCAGGACAGAGUCUCUGACCAUAUUUAAAUGUUGUAGAAGCGUAGCCAUAUAUAUGAAACGUUUCACUUUGUUUUCGUAUGUUAUCAAAGGCUCAGUUUUAAAAGUAAUAUUGUAAUAAGUAUUGAAGUGUCCCAUGCAAUAAAAUCGAAGUGUCCCAUGCAACAAAAUCAUGUCAUGCGUCUUAAAUUUAUUUUGCCCUCUUAUUUAUCCUAGAUGGUAAAUACUGUUAUGAUAGAUUAUUCAAAAGGUUAUAAGGGGAGAAGAUAAGUUUAUUUUUUUUUGGGGAAAAACAUUUCCUUGCUGAAAAAAGCAAAAAUUUACAUAAGUACUGCAAUGUCUGUGGGCGGCUCUUCCAACUGAAUAAGAUCGUUAAUCAAAGAGAGUGCUAAUUUUGCUAACUGAUAAGAAACUGUAUUACAAUUUCUAAUUUCUGAAAUGAUCCAUUCAAUCUCCUUUCUACUUGAUAAAACGCCCGUAAUUAGAUGGACAAGAUUUACUGAAUCAAAUUCCACAAUAAAAAGAGUUAAGCAUAAAUCUAUCGCCGGCUUGAUGCCUUCUAGGAUAGCUUCAGCCUCUGCAAACUCGAUGUCGCUAAGAAAAGAUUUCUUGUGGCUGAGCCAGCUAUAAAAUCUCCCUUGAAAUUUCCUAUAAUUGCACCCAAACCUGUAAUUCCAUUGGAGAUGUCAAUCGGUGCAUCAACGUUCAAGUUGUACCAAUGAUUAUCCGGUGGAAUCCAACUAACACCCUUCUUGGUUGGAGGGACUAGAAACUCUUGAAUUGGAGAGCCUUGAGCAGCAGUGUACGAAUUCAAAACAGCUUCAGCCUUGCAAAGAACACUCUUUGGGUCCAUCUUUUGAUUCUGAUAGAGCGCUAUGUUCCUAGAAUGCCAAAUAGACCAUGUAAUCAUCCCAAACGAUGGGUAGUCCUCUUUUGACAGCCAAGAUUCCAAAUUCUUUGCAAAGAGAGCAAAAUCCAUAUGAGGGUUAUUCGUUACAUAAGCAGCCAAAGUUGACAACUUCCACACCUUGAUCGCAAACUUAUAGCCAACUAACUCAUGAAAGGUACCCUCAAUAGCACUAAAACAUCGAUGACAAUUUGGAGAAUCCACUACUUUUCAUUUCAAAAGAUUAUUUGAUGUAGAGAGUAUAUUACGUAGAGCUCUCCAAAAAAAAGAUCGACUUUAGAUGGAAUGGAUAAAAGCCAAGCGGGAUACCCCAAUUAGCAUAGCCAAAUGAACUUAGAGGGGGAAUUAGGAUAAGUAAGACUAAGGGCCACUUGUAACCACUCUUAAAAGUUUACAAAUUUAUUUUGUACAAACUGAUUUGACAUUAACUUAUUGAUUAAAUAAAAAUACAACAACAUGUUUUUAUAUUUAAAAUAUAUAUAUUCACAUAUACGAAGGUAUAUACUUGAACAAUAUGAGUAAUACAUGUGAAUUAAAAUCAUCUCCUAAUCUAAGCUCCAUUAAUUAAUUUUAAAAAAAACUUGUCACAUGUUUUUAGUAUAGUGUAUAAUUAUUGUUAUGUUUUUAUUUAUUAAUUUCCAAUUACCUGCUAUAUAUCUUACUCAACAAUGUUUUGAUCAUGAGAGAAUUUUAAUUCAAAUACAUAUGAAAAAAAAAAGAAGAAGAAAUCUGAGACCAUACUAAUAAGAGAUUUCCUUUCAUGUGAUUUUAAGAUCAAAAUUAUGAUAGUAUGCAAACUUGGUUGCGUUUAGUAUUGUUCUUUAAACGAUGUUUUUGUAUUUAUUUUAUAAUAUAGAUAUGAUUAAUAUUUGAUGAAUUUGAAAUUUUGUUUGGUAUAUAGUAUAUAGUAUGAAUUUGACCACUAAAUACUUAAUAAUUAUAUUUAUAUACAAAAUUAAAAAAAAAUAAGGAUUUCUCUACCUUACGUUUAAUGUAAGGUACAUCCCCUUACAAAUUGAGCUAUAAGUCCCACUUGAGCCCACAGCCAAUAGAGAGGUUGUACCUUACAUUAAAUGUAAGUAGAGAUGGCCAAUGGGUCGGGCGGCACAAGGCACAGCACGUGUCCGUACAACAUGGCACGACACGAGCACGUUUCGGUAGGGCACGAAGCACGGCACGGCACGCAAAAAGGCACGUAAUAAGCACGCUUCAUUGAUAGGCUAAGCACGUAGCCCGUGGGCCAAAGUAUAUCAAAAUAAAAAAUUUUAAUGAAAAAUAAAUAUAAAAUAUCAUGAUUUUAUAAAUAUCUUGAAAUUAAAUUUUUUAAUAUAUUUUUUUAGCAUAGGUUUUUUAAAAUUAAUUUAAGUCCUAGUUUAAAUAAAUAUUCUAAUUUUUUAUGUUUAUAAUUUAUUAAAUGGAUAAAUAAAUAUCAUGAUUUUAUAAAUGAUAAAUGAAAAAUUUUACGACAUUAAUAUUUCAUUUAUGAAAUCAUAACUUAGUUAAUAGUUAAUGGAGAUAUGUUUCAUUUGUGAAUGAAAUAUUUUUCAUAUUUAUGCACAAAAAAAUAAAAUUAUGAACAAAAUAUUUUUAUGAUAAAUUAAAAAUUACAUUUUCAUUCAAUGGAGUUUAUGUGCAAUUAUAAUAUUAGUAGCUCAAAUAAAAUUAGAUGUAAUUGUUAUUCUAGAAUUGUAAUUUUAUUUUCAUUAAUUAUUACUAUGAUCUAUGAAAUUAUUAUUAUUAUUGUCGUUGUUGUUGUUGUUAUUAUUAUUAUUAUUAGGCUGGUAGGGUUAAAAAAGCACGCCAGGCACGUGGACUUUUUUAGGCAUACUGGACAUGUGGACAAAGAAAAAAGGUUGGUGGGCUUUUUUUGGGCACGGCCCACGGCACGAGUUUGGACAUGUGGACAAAAAAAAAGUUGGUAUGGGUUUUUUUUAGCACGAACCACGGCACGGUACGGCACGAGUGGGCUCGUGCCGUGGGCCGUGCCGGCUCACGAGCCCGCGUGGGCUGACAUUUUGUGGGCCGUGCCGUGCUGGCCAUCAUUAAAUGUAAGGUAACAGCUCCCAAAAAAUAAAUGAAAGAGAGAGGCAACAUAGCAUAAUACGGGGCCGGACCCACAUCUUCAUAAAACUAUGUCAUAAAAGCAGUGGUAGUUCCUAUGAACAAAGUGAAGAAUAAAGAUUUGAUGCUGUCUAAUUAUCUUCGUUAACAUUGUAAAAUAGAUAUGGUUUGCUUUCAUAAUAAUAAAAAAUGUUACUGUUACUGAGGCUUAUCAAACAUUUUUUUUCUAUUCUUAUAAAAUAGAAAAUGAGUGAUGAAAAACAAUACCAUACAGCCCAAAUUUUUUUCCAUUUUUACCCCUUUAAUCAUAGCCUAUCGGCCUCUCCAAUUAGUUGAAAUCUUGAUGAUUCGACCACAAGUUGUAAGAGAAAUUCUAGAAUAUAUCUAUUGUAUUAUAACUAAUUAAUGCAUGCACGACAUGCGUAAUUGAGUUUAAUACAACCACCACUUGCAUGAUAGUUUACAAAAUAAAUGCACACAUGUCAUGAUAUUAUUUGCUUGUUGUAUGGGUGACAUAGUACAACAGAUGUAUUCUAGAAUUUCUCCAAGUUGUAAAAUACCAUUUGAGUCACAUAUAUUAUUGGUAGAUGAGUAGAUCGCAUCUCCCUCAACCAACGAAUUGCAUGUCAAUGUGAAAAUUGAUUUAACUGUUUAGUCUGUUUUUCAAUGAGACGUAUUUCGUUCAAACUUUUACCUUCAAUCAAUGGGACCGAAGAAAGUAGGAAAAAAAAAAUUAAACAAAUAAAAGGUAGAACUAGUUGACAGACAAAAUUUUAUCAACAUUUUGAAACAACCAACAUUAAAAAGAAAUAAAAAAAUAAAAGAAGAGAUCUAGUAAAAGAAACAUGAGUUUAAUAAUUAAGCUAGAAAAGGAAAGAAUCUUAGUAAGCUUUUCAACAAGAUCCUUUUCAAUGUCCUUUUCGACAAAAUCUUUAUUGUCAAUAUAUUGAAAAAUGAUGGUGGUUGAGUUGUCACUAUGUAUCUCGAAUUUAAGCUUCUGAUACGGUCUUUUAAAAAUAAUUCUGGAUAUUUUAUUUUAAAUGGUAACUUUUAAUAGUGGUUAACUUGUAAACAAUUGUUGCCAAAUCAUAAACAAAAUCUUAUUGUCUCACGGAAAGAUACUGGAAAAUAAUCAUGAGUUUAAUAAGCUAGACAAUGAAAGAAUAAUAUAUACAUGUUAUAUAGUAACGAUUGAUUAUUUCUUCUUACCGCUAAGAAAUCUUUUUCUAUGCCUUUUUCGACAAAAUCUUUAAUGUUAUAUAUUGAAUAAUGAUGGUGAUUAAGUUUCCAUUAUGCAUCUCUCAUGUAAGCCUCAGUCCCUAGAAUUAACUAGCUCUCAGGAUUCCUGCAUCAGUUAACUACAGCUUCCAGGUUUAUCAAUAAUUAUGGUACACCAUCCUCCAAUAUCUGUGCAUAUAUAAUUUUUUAAACAGGAAUUUUGGAGUUUGGAUCAUAUUAAAAUAAAGGAUAAAUUAAAAAAUAAGACAAACACAUACUCUAACAUAUUUUAUUUUAUCAUGUAAUAUAUUGAAUUUCAUAUUUUUCUGUCUUUUUAGCUUGUUAUAACGAUCCUUUAUAAGAAAUUAAAUGUAUCUUGAUUCUCUCCCACACUAACUUUAGAAGAGAAAAUUAUUUAAUUUGCUUUAUUCUUUUACUACUACUGCGUCAAAAUAACCAACAAUUGACGACAACAAUUAUUGAAUAUGUAACAAAUUUACAUACAUUUUGACGACAUCUUUACUUGUUUGUGUUGGCAUCCUUAUUGGCAAAUUACAACAUCGUUCAGUCUUCUUAUAAUUAAGCAAUUGUCUAUGUAACAUAAAUUAUGUAUUAAGAACAUCAAUAUGGCGUGGAGCAUUGCGCAUAGAAGAGAAGAAGUAAAGUCUUAGGCGUCUACUCCAUGUGGGAAACAUGGGAUUAUCACAAAGAGAGAUUUAAAGAUUAUAACAAAAGAGAGAUUUUAACUAACUUGUUAUGGAGGGAUGAGAUAACGAUCAAGUUGGCAUAAUCUGUAGAGAUAACGACGAGUUUGGAAUAAUCAUGUGGUGAUAAUAUUAUGAUAUUCUGCCUUUUGAUCAACUGAGCACGCUCCCUCUCACAACACAACUCUCUUCAUAAGAAUUGGCCAACAUGGAUUGUCACUUUUCAUGUUAAUUUGAUAUUACCUUGAAUGGCAUAUUAAUUUGAUUUGAAAAAAUGGAACGAGAGUAGAGGAAAAAAGGAGAAUGAAAAGAAAUAAGAAAAAAAAUGAUGAAUUUCAUAUAAAAUCAAAUAAUGAAAUAAUAAAAUUGAGGUCGAUUCUCUUUUUUUUCUCUUUUUUCUCUAAUAAAAAUAUAUCAGAUUAAUGACAAAGUAUUGAUAUUUGAUCCCCUCAGUUUCUCUUAUUAUCUCCCACUUCUCUCAUUUUAAUUUGAAAAGUCAAAAAUACCUACCAAAAUAAUUUUAAGUUUUAAAUUUUACCCUUUCUUCUUUCUCUCCUCUCUCUUAUUCUCCCGACUUCCCUUCAUCUUCGUUUUCUUUAAAAAUUGAAGAUUAGUACACUUUCCUUCAUUUUUUGAUCUUUCUGUAUCGAUGAGAGCAAUAAUUGACAUCAUCAAACAAUCCUUUUCUACCCAAAUCAUGAUUAUAAACAAAAGUAAAAAAUAGCAAUAUCAUGAUAUGGAAUCUUGAUCAUAUCUCAUGAUCCCUCUUCAGCUUCUAUGUUAAUCAAAAAGAAAAAAAUAUAAUCGAUUAAAGAUUAAAUUUAAAUUUUAAAAUGUUGUCCUUUUUUUGGGGGGGGGGGGGGGGGGGGAUAAAAAAGAGUUUGAGAUCAAGAUGACAGUGUUGCAUAAAUAAUUAUUAUUAUAAUAAUUAAAGAAACGGCUUGCAUGUCCACUUAUUGCUAAGAAGAGAAGUGGUUCGCGCCGGCCAGUUCCAAGAAGACAAGUGGUGGGUGUCAGUGCAUGGUUAGUAAUUAUUGGGGACUAGAACUGAUUGCCAAGAGUGAGGGUGCAUUUAAUAUUGAGGUUGAGUAACUUUUAAGAUACUGUACUAAAGUGUUUGGUAAACACUAAUUACGGUAGCUUGGAAACUAUGGUGGUAUUUGUUUUUUAACUUAAUGACUUAAAGUGACUUAACUUAAUUAAUUAAGUUAAUUAGAGGUGUUUGUUUUUAUAACUUAAUGAGACUUUUUAGAUAAUUUUGACUUAAUAAAAUAAGCUAAUUUUUUUGGCUUUUUACUUAAUGGAGAAAUCUGAAUUAAGUUAAUUACUUGCUAAUGUCAAAAAUAUCUCUGUUUUAUAAUUUAUUUUUUAUGUCUAUCCCAAAACUCACCCAUAAAUAUUUACCCCACAUAAAAAUAUCCCUGUUUUUUCUUUCUUAUAUUAUAUACGAUAAAAUUUGAAAUUUAUGGUAUUUUAUAUAUUAAAAUUCUAAAAUAAUUAUGUAUUCACUUGAAUAUAGUUUUGCUUAUAAAUGUUAAAAUAUUAUGGUAUUUAAUAUAUUAUUUAUUUGACAUUCAAAUUUAAUAAGGCUACAAAUGUAAAAGUACAUAUUUUCAGCUUUUUAAGUUGAAAAAAACAAACAGCUUAAUACUUAUUUUCCGAGAUUCAUACGAAAAAACAAACAUAUUAUUCAGAUUCAGACAUUCAGAUCUAUUAAGAAUUCAGACUAAUUCAGGUUUAUUCAGAUUUUAGAUAAAAAAAACAAACGCCACCUAUGUUAAUAUGAUUUUUUUCUUAUAUAAUAAAAAAUUUAUUAUAUCUUUAAUAAUUUUGUCAAAAUUAUUAUUUAAAAUUUAUAUAUACUAUAUAUUAUUAAUUUUUGUUUCAUAUUUACAGUUUUUUUUCCAUAGCAGUUAUAACUUAAAAGGUAUAGCACCUCAAUUUCAAACAGGACCUGAAUCUUGUUCAACAAGCAACAGAUUUAGCACCGAUGAGAGAAGAACAAAUAUUAAUUUUAUUUUUUUUAAUGAGGGCAAUUCUGAAUAUAAUUAUAACUAGUAAAAUGGGAGCUAACGAGAUAAAUUGAGAGGUUUAAUAUCUUUACUCUUAAUGAUAAAAAUAACCACAUCGAAGUGCACUGUUAAAUAAAUAAGUGCCAUCACUAUUUAUGCAAUUUACAUGAUAUUAUGAUUAAUCUUGCAUAUGAUUAUUUAUUAAUAAAAAAUAUGUAACAUGUGCUAGCACAUACUAUUUUCCUCUAAAUUUCUUAUACCACAUUUUUUCCUAUAAAUAGAAAGAGGCACACGUCUUCCACGCAAAUCACACAAGUAAGACUUAGUAUAAUUAGAAACAUGAAUCUCAAAGCUUUCUUUGUUCUCUCCGCAGUGCUCUCUUUGCUUCUCUUGGUAUAUAUGCAUCUCUUUUUUAGGAAAAUUUAACAUAAAGGAUACCUAAUUAAGUUAGUUUUGAUGAGAUUCUCUUUAUCAUUUGUUUGAUCUAAUUUUUUUUUUUUCCUCUUGUUCAGUUUGCUAACAGAACAGAGGCCAGAAAAGAUCAGGGAGAAUAUUGGAGAGGCUUCGUCAAAGAUAGCGACGUGCCAGAAUCAAUUCAAAUUCAUGUUCGCCAGGAUCCUGUCUCAACUGCCUCUGAUGCCAAAGCCCACUGCAAAGAACCUGAAGAUUUAGAGCACAAGAGAGAAAAGACUUAUGUCAAGGAUUCUGACGCAACGAUUGAUAUCUUAGUUUAUCACAACAGUAUUAAACCAACUGAACAAAAGUUAUUUGGCAACCACUUCGAAAGCCCGGAUGCUACAAUUUACCACAAUGACAUUAAACCAACAGAACAGAAGUUAUUUGGCAACCACUUCGAGUCAAGCCCGGAUGCUACAAUUUACCACAAUGACAUUAAACCAACAGAACAGAAGUUAUUUACCAACCACUUCGAGUCAAGCCCGGAUGCUACAAUUUACCACAAUGAUAUUAAACCAACAGUACAGAAGUUAUUUGCCAACCACUUCGUGUCAAGCCCGGAUGCUACAAUUUACCACAACGAUAUUAAACCAAUUGAAAUGAUUAAAUCUUUUGUUAGCAAAUUCUUGUCAAACCCUGAUGCUACAAUUUAUCAUGAGUAACCAGACUCUGCUUUCAAUCGUGUGGAGAGAGCCCGUUAUCCAUCUGUAAUAUUUGUGCGUACGUGUGAUGCUCUCUUUCUAUAAAUAAGUUAUGAGGAGUGCGGUUGUUUAAUGCUCUAAGGCACAAGCUUUGUAAGAAAGUGUGUUUUUAUUGUAAAAUUGAAUAAAAAUUUGUGCCAAGUUAAUUAAUUAUCCCUUUUCUAGUGAUUUUUUUUUUUCUAAUGCUUUGAUUAUUUCCACAAAAUCUUUUCGUAAGGAAAGGGCCUAGCUACUUGAAUCAAUUUUCUCCAUUUCAACGUUAUUAGUAUAAUAAUAAUACAAAAAAUCAUUAAUCUCAGUAAUUGAUAAACAAUAUUCUUUGCUAUUAUAUUGAGAAUUAAUUCCUAAUCUGAGAAAAUAAAUUAACAAUUAAAAAAUAAUAAAAGAUCGUGAACUACUUAGAUUUAUGGCCCUCUCACAUGUCGAUGGUACUUUACAUAAUUAGAAGCCUUUUUAUUAAUUUUAACAGACACCAUUCAAUCAACUUUGGUGACAUACUGAUAAUUGAUGCAAAAUUCUAUUUGGGGAAAAAAAAGUAAAAGAAAGAACUCCUAUUUUAGCUCUUAAAUCUUAAUUUUUCAAAUUUUAGAAGGAUUAAUGAUCAACAUUAUUUAGCCUAUUUUAUUUAAUUUAUAACUAUAGAAAUCCUAAAGCUGAUGGAGUAUACUUAAUACCUUAUUUUCCCCAAUCACAACCGUCUAAAUUCCUGAAACAUUUCAUUUCUUAAAUUUCAACGGUACAGAUUAAUUCUCUUACGAAAACUCAGCGACUUAUCCUGGACCGCCGCUACUAAAAUACAUAAGAGUAAAAUACUAUAGUAUUCCGGGACAAAUUUAUUUCUUCCACGACGCAAUAAAAUGCUGCGUCCAAUAACAUUCUGUUUCCUAAAGCUUACCCAAAUCGCAGAUAGGAACAUGGUUUGCAAUAAUUUUUCUAACAGAUCCUGCCAUCAAAUUCGUUAAAAACUGGUUUAAUUUUUAUUAAAUAAUUUUAAGUAAAUUGAAUAAGAUAAAAAAUUUAAAAAGUUAUUAUUUUAUAAUGAAAAAGCUAGAUCAUCCAUACGUAAUAAAAAAUAGUACGCAUUCACAACUUAAUGCAAUAUAAUCUAGACAACCAAAUAUAUUUUAUGUAUUUUUUACAAAUUGCUUUUAGUAUAAGCAAAUAAGGUGGUUGUCUAAACAUUCAUAUUUUUGGAAGGUCUCAAUUUUUAAUAUUUUCUUAAUAAUUUUCUAAUUAAUAAAGAUAUUUUUUUAACUUAUGUAUUGUAGAAAAACCUAUUAGACAUUUUUAUUAUUAACAACUAUACUACAAUUAAGAGUCUUUUUUGUAUAGAAAAUCAAUAUUUGUAACCUUAUUGAUAAAGAGAAAUGAUUAAUAAUAUUUUUAACCAUUAAUUCAUUCAUUAUUAGUUUUCUCAAGAAAAAAAGUUAAAUUCUUUACCUUUUCAUUUUCCUAAAAAAAACUUGAUUAUUUAACAUUGAAAUCUUUGACUUUUAUUAUUCCUUUAGUUUCUAUUAGAACCUUAUAAUAUAAAAAAUCAAUAGAUAAAAAAAAUUUGUUCCUCCUUUCUUUACGAAGAAAAUUAUUAUAUUUAUUGGUUAAUUUAAAAAAGAAAAAUUAGUUUCUUGAAGUAUGAAGACCAUAUCUAUUAUCUGAUAAUCAAUUCAUGAUCUCGACUUUCUAGCUAUAUUCUGUCAUUCUAAAUAUUUUAUUUGAAAAUAAUAUUGUUUUUAUUUAUUUGUUUGUUUGCUUUUUAAGAGUUCUGAUGGAAGUAAAAAAAACAAAUCUUUUUUACUAAUUUUUUAGGUUUUUUUUAAAAGAUUUUUUAAGAUAUUUUUUUAUUACUGUUAAAAUUUAAGAAUUAAAGAUAGAAUGAAUUUUUGAGUCUUUUCAUAUUUCUUUGAGUAUUGAAAUUACAAAAUAAAAUAUGGCCUUACAAAAAAAAAAUUCGCCUAAGACCCCAUAUACUCUAAUGCCGACUCUGGGUGAAAUUAUUGAUUUUAUUAAUAAUAAUAUGAUGUAUACUAACCAAUGUACAAAACAGUAGUGGGUGACAUAAAUUAGAAUUGUGUUGCAAAAACAAGAGGUUUGAGUGAAAAAGAAUUUACAAACUCACAUUACAAUGUUAUAUAGUUGCCAUAUGUCUCACAUUUUCAAAUGAACAAAAUAUAAUAAAUACAGUAUAAUCUUUAUAACUGAAUAUUCAAUAGAUUAAUAAUCUCUACUGUGUAAUAAUUUUUUAUGGUCAUGACUUAGGCCAAUAGGUUAAAUUAAUAAUUGCAAUAAAUUAAUAAGAUGAUAUUUUUUAUGAAAACCCUUAUAUAACUAUGUGGCUCCAUUCAUAUCAAAAUUAAUAAUUUUUUAAAAUUAUAAAUAUAAUUGACAAUAAUUUUUUAUUUAUUAAAAUGUGAGUCGAUUAUUAUCUUGUUCCCUUAUUACUUCUUUUCCUUGAAAUAUAAAUCUAUUUGAAUCUCGUAUCUAAUUUUUCUUAUUACAUCUAAAAGUUUUGGGAUUGAAUUCUUGAAUUAUAAUAAAAAAAAAUUAUGAAGUGCUUUCGUACACAUAACUGGCUCCAAAGCAAUUGUAUCAUUCUCAACUUUUAUCAUCGACAUGAUUUUAAGUGAUGUCAGCAGUGGUUUAAUUUAUUCUAAACUUAAAAUCUCUCAACUUACAUCAUUUUUAUUAUGAUAAUCCAAGAGGUAAUUAAGUAGAUAAAUACAAUACAGUUAUUGUUUUGGUUUAUCUAAUAUCUAUUUAGUAGAUUAAUUCAUAUUCAAUAAAUUAGAUUAGUAAAAUAUAACGAAAUUUUAGUUAAUUAAAUGUACGUUUAUUGAACUAUAAAUGAACUCUAGAAAUUAAUAAAUUAUUAAUUUACUAAUUACAUAAUAAUUCUUUUAAUUAAUAAAAUUUAAAUAGUCCCAAUGUUAUUAAUUCAUAGAAGUUAUAUGAAAUAUGUGUCAACUAUAUAAUAUCGUAGUUUGUAAACAAAACAUAACUCUUUUGUUAAUUGAAUACUAACGUAAUGCUAUAGAAAUAACAUAUGUGACCAAUUUGCAUAAAUGUAUACUCUCUGUAUCUUAUUACAAAUGCUUUAUAAAUCAGUGACUCAGAUGUUAUUAUCUAAACUCGUGGAAGCAUUACUUUUGUCCCUGCCAAUAUCAUUCAGAUAAAUAGUUGUUGUGCGUUCAGAUUCACCAGGAAUGCUUACGCAAAACAUAGACUGAACCCAAGAGCUUCGAAACUCGAAACUGAACCAAAUCAUUCUAAUGGAAGAGAAACGCCGGGAAGCCAGAGCGCAACCGGCGGCUACGAGCUCGGCCGCAGCUGGAGCCGAGUCAGCGGCAUCCGAGCCGGCUUCGCUCGGCGCCGAGCCGGAGCGCACAAAAGGAAAGCCUCGGCGCUCUCAGCGACUAACGCUUCAUCCACGCCGUCGAAGCGCAUGACUCGCGAGAAGAAUUUAGUUGCUCACACUCCGAUCUACAACCAUAACGUUACAUCUUGACAUUUGUAGUAAGAACGUGAGAGGAUACCUGGAGUGUAUUGGGAUUUGGGCGGAAGAGAAAGGAGCCCUUGGAAUUGGGAAACAAAUGAAAUUAUCUGCAUGGUCCUUGUACUCGUGGAGGGACUGUAACUUCUGAACCAACAAUGCUGAAAAUGCAGGGUCAAAAAUCAACAUUAACUUGAUGAAUAAUUGUUUGAAAAAAAAAAAAAGCAAGAAAACUUGAUUAAUAUAAAAGAGAGCAAAGGAGCACAACCAUACAGAAGUUGUAUAAAGGAAUAUUAAUCAAGCUUGAUUAAUAUUCUUCUUCUAUCCAACACCACAAGAUGAAACACAGUAUUCCUGUUGCAGUAUAUGGUGAGAACUGUGAAGUGCAGGAAGUAGUUUCCUAAGAGAGAUGAUUGAAUGCUCUUAAUUUUUUUUUUCAGAAAAUCAUUUUAUUUUUAAUAAAAGUUUAAUUUUUUUUAAUAAAAAUUUUUAUUUAUUUUUUAUUAAGUUGUGUCUCAUAUUUACUAAUAAAGGAAGUUAUUUGGGUAUAUAAGUAGGAUGUCUCAUCUAACAUGCUAGUAGGAUAAAUCUCUCAUCUAAUAUGCUAGUAUUUUGGGUUAAAUACCUAUAAAUUCUAAGCCGAGUCCACAACAGUCCCCAAAAUAACUGGAUUUAAGUCCUAGCUACACCAGUAGAUUGAAUAGAAGUGCAAAUAAGUUUAACUUUUUUGUCAUUCAUUUUAGUCUUUUUUUUUUUUUUUUUUCACAUACAUUGAAAAAGGAUAACUCUGUCGUGAUUGCCAUGGCAGAGCCUAUUUCAAACGAUGGUGUAUGCUAAAGGAAAUUAUCAUGAGAUGAGUGAUAAACCAUACAAUCAGUAGCUACAGCCCACGAUUAAUCAGCCACAUGGCCACAAAUAUUAUUGGCGGCAAAUAUAUCAACAAAAUCACAAUAAAGAUGAGCAUCCUCGAUUCCAUUCCUUAAUGUAAAUAGGACAGCCUGUCUAGCCAUUACUUUAAGAGAUUUGGCUGGCUUUGACACUUGUAUAUAAGCUUGUAACCCUCUCAUUCUUUACAAGAAAUAAGAUAAUAUUUUCAGCUUAAUAAUUCUUUUCAGUGAGAUCAAAGAAAUGUAAAGAGAUAUAGUCACUACUACAAAAAUGUAAAACAAUGACCCAUAUGUUAUGACGGUUCUUCUAAACAACCGUCAUUAAAGAUAUUUAAUGACGGUUAUUAUGUGAACAGUCAUAAUAUAUACCACUUAUAAUGACGGUUAUGUAAUAAAACCGUCAUUAAAUGUCAAAUAAAAUUUACACUUAGUUUUAAUGACGGUUCAUUUAUAAAAACCGUCAUUAAAAGUCACUAUUUUUAAUGACGGUUCUUAUAUACAACGGUCAUUAUAUGUGUAGUUAAAAAUAAUAUUACUUUUAAUGACGGUUUUUUAAUAACCGUCAUUAAAAAUAAUAAUUUUUAAUCACGGUUUUUACAUAUAACGGUCAUUAUAUGUGUAAUUAAAAUAGUACUACCUUUAAUGACGGUUUUAAAAAAACCGUCAUUAAUAAUUUUUAAUGACGAUUUUUACAUUAAACGGUCAUUAUAUGUGUAAUUAAAAUAAUACUACCUUUAAUGACGGUUUUGUUAAGAACCGUCAUUAAAAAUAAAUUUAUUUUUAAUGACGGUUCUUAACAAAACCGUCAUUAAAAAUCAUACUUUUUAAUGACCGUUAUAUAUUAUAACGGUCAUUAUAUAUAUAAUUAAAAUGCUUUUAAUUUUAAUGACGGUUCUUUAAGAACCGUCAUUAAAAAUUGACAUUUUUAGUGACAGUUGUAUAAAACAACCGUCAUCGUAUAUAUUGAUAUAGUUAUAAAAAAAAAAAAAAAAUUGGCCUUAUACUGAACACCAAAUCCCUAAAAUUACAGAUAAUUUGUAAACAUUAAAAGUAAUGGCGCAAGCACGCACGCCGCCGGUACACUUAGCCCAUGCAGCAGCAACCGAGCACGGUAGCAACAGGCCACCAGCAGUCGCUCUCUCUCUCACGCACACGCAGCAGCAAGCCAACACCAAUAGCCCCUCUUUCUCAUGCUCACUCUCUACUAUGCCCUCUUACGUACUCAAGAAAACUCUAACCCAUAUCCAAACCCUCGCCGUCGAAGAAAACCCAAUCCUUAAUGGCUUGAAAUUAAAGCCUCCACCGUCAAUCACCAUCGAACCAAAUAAACUCUAGCCUUACCAUCACUCUUCGUUUGACUCGCUGAAGAAAGCACUCUAUUAGGUGAGUCUCUGUUGUUUGAUAAUAUAUCUGCACUCUUUGUUGGCCGAAGCUUUUAGACAAUUGCUUUGAUUCAAUUGCUUCGAUUGGUUAGUUCUCUGUGAUUAAUUAGUUAGUUACUUUUAAUUUCAUAUUUUCAUCUCUAACAGUGAAUUUGGGAGUCGAUUUCUCUGUCGGAUUUGUAAUUUUUGCUACAGAUCAAAAACAUCUUGAAGGUGUUUUCAUAUCUAACAACUUGAACUAUCAUUUAUUUUGUCUUGUUAAUGUUCAAUUUUUUUUUCUUUUUUUAUUAGUAUGACAAUUAGUCGAAUGUGCUUGCACAUAAAACAAUCUUUUAACUUGGCGUUGGAAUAUUUGUUUUGAGUUGUGUCCCCUUAAUCAAUGACCAUACAAAAGUUCCCCAUGAUAAAGUGUUUAGCCCUAUUAAUGCCAUAAAGUCUUGCUCUCAAUUUUUCUGAUUAUGCCUAUGGAUUGAUUACCUAUUUCAUUUACAAAUUCAAUUGGCAAAUGUACAAUGCCUGCAUGACACUCACAUUUGGGUUAUGAUGGUAGUCAUUAUGAGGAAGAAUGUUAGAAUAACAUCAGGGGAAACAUCUGGGAGAAGGUAUGUACUGUCAAGCUCUUUGUUAGAAUCAUCACGAAAUUUAUAUUGGAUCUUGGCUGUUCUAUGUGAUGCAUUUUGGAUUUGCUCUUACUAGACAUGCAAAAACCUGUAAAAUGUAUUUUUUUUUUCCAUUUUAGAUUUACUAUCUAGUAUCUUGUAGGUUUAAUCUAAAAUAGAAACCAUUGAGGAUACUGGACACAAUUCUAAUGAAGAGAAAAGAUGUUAGACUUUAGUAUUCAACCUUUUUUUUUUAGCCAUAUUUCUAGACCCCAAGUUUAUGUCAUGAUAAUUGUGUGAUUGAUAAGAUAUUUUGGUUUUGGACUUUAUCUCAUGGAUUUAGAGUUCGAUUAUAUUUGGAAGUGGAAUAAUGCAUUCAUUUACAUAUGAUGUUUGAUGAAGUUCCCAUAAAAUUAAUUCAAUUAUAUAUGUUUAUGGUUCUAAGGAAGCGGGGCAAAAAUUUUAUCAGUGGGUUGAUUUCACUAGUUUAAGUUAGUAAAGCAAAGAAAUUGUCUUUAUGCACUUUAACUUUCCUCCAUUUAAGGUGAAAAAAUUAUUGAAGCUUUUAGAAGUGAAUUGUUCAUUUUGUUUGUGCACUUAUGCAGAUGGAUUUACUUUUGGCUGCUUAACCCUUCCUCACUUAUAUUUUUUCAGUUUAAAUUGCAGUGUUUUGCUGCUGUGCAACAGCACAAGAGGCUGUUUUAUUGUUGUUUCUGUAAAAACACAGCACCAGGAAGCGUCCAGGUAAUGUUUCGCUGCUGUUAUGCAGUAAAAACAACACCUGAAAGUUUCUAGGUGCUAUUUUUACUGCUGUUUACGCAGAAACACAGCACCUAAAAGUGUCUCUAGGUUCUGUUUAGCUGCUAUUAUGCAGCAAAAACAGCACCUGGAAACUUCCAAGUGCUGUUUUUAUUGCAUUUUAUGCAGAAACAAAGCACCUAGAAGCAUUCAAGGGUUGCUUUACUGUUGUUUUGUAUUUAAAAUUGCUGUUAGAAAUUUUGGGUGCUAUUUCUCUGAAAUUUUGCUAUUAACAGUGCAGCUUAAUAAUUUCAUAUGUCGUUUUGAACCUUCUUCAGUUCUUUUCUCUUAUGUCUAUACUUAAUCUUUUCCCCCCUGGUAAUAAGCAGGUACAAUUUUUGCAAGGUAAUAUCUAAGCAUGCUGUUAAUUCUUUGGUUGAGACGUAGUAUUCUAAACUUCAGGCCUUAAUUUUUUUAUUUCCAAGUGUAUAAUGGGUAGGUACUGGAUCUCUUAUGGAUGAUGUAGUUAAUGCUUUUUUAUUGUCUCUAUUUUGGCAAAUGUGUUGUCAUUUAUUAUCUGAACACAUGGUUGAUUAACUUACUUGAGGUAAGUCUAUUAAUUAAUAGUGAUAUGAUACUUUAAAGUCUUGUUUUACAACUUAAGUCACUAAAAUGAUUUAAUAUUUAUGAUUUAUAAUAUAUGAAUAUAUCUUAAUUUCUCUUUAUUCUUUGUAAGAAUGAUGUAGAUUGCUGAAGCUGGUGAGAUUCAUUUGCAAUUGAAGACUUGAUGAGAAAUUAGAUGUACUCACACAUGCCAAUCUUGUUGGUUGCUAGUGCAUUCACUAGUAGAAGUUUAAUGAUUGUUGGAGAUUUUUGUAGAGCUAUCUCUUUGUAAAUGAAACAUUUGCAUCAUUUUGAAUAUGAAACAUUUGUGAAAAAUAAUUGUAAAGAAUUUAAUAUGAAAUUAGAAUUAAAAUAGGGGCUUGAAAUAGCCUUAAAUUUGCCAAAUUUAUUUUUUUAAUAAUAAAUAACAAAGAUGACGGUUAUUUCAAAAGAACCGUCAUCAAAUGUAGUGUUCUAUAACAAAUAUGACGGUUUUCUUCUAAAACCGUCAUUAAAUGUUGUUUCAAUAUUUAAUGACGGUUCUUACAAUAAACCGUCAUUAAAAUGACACAUUUAAUGACGAUUAUUUAGAUAAACCGUCAUUAAAGAUAGAUAUUUAAUGACGGUUCUUACAAUAAACCGUCAUUAAAAUGACACAUUUAAUGACGGUUAUUUAAAUAACCGUAAUUAAAAAUAUACAUUUAAUGACGGUUAGUGAACCGUCAUAAAAAACAUACCCUCUUUAAUGUCGGUGCCUAAGAUGACGGUUUUAAAACCGUCAUCUUAUGUCGUUUAAAACCGUCAUAAAAGACCAAUUUUGUAGUAGUGAGUCUAUUAGGUUGGCAAAUCUACUGAAACAAUAUUGUUUCCUAUCAACUCCGAAAUACAACCAAUUGAACAACGUUCAGAAAUCGAAAAUCAUUUAUUACCAGUAAGAUUUAUUAUUAUACGCUAUACAUAUGGCUUUAACAGUCACAUUACCAAUACAUUUUUAAUCAUGGUAGGUAGGUGCUGGAAUGUAUACAAUAUUAUCAGCCUGGAAGAAAUGGCAGACAUGGGAGCUCCCUGGCUCGAUCCCAAGCACACGAAACGAUGCAUGAUCUCGACUCCAAUGAGACGUAUCCAUGUGGCAAACUGCUACAGCUUCCACUCUAUCUCCAUUAUCACCACCUAAUGAAACACCGAAUAACUUGUUCUCAGUCAUUUGGCUGUGGCAGUAGAAGAUUGCAUAAGGGUAAGGCAUGAUAUGACAUGCCACCAUCUUGGGAGCAACCAUUGGUUUAGGCACUUGUAAAAUAGUGUAAUUUUGGAAAAUGGUAGCUGAUUUUGUGAGAAAUUUUGUGCUUAGAACUUCGAAUUUGGUCUCCAAUCCGAAAGUUCCGUGUACAAAAUCAAGCAUGGAUUCCAAAGAGGUAGCACAAAUUUUGGUUUCUCCUUCGAUGGGAGGAACUUCGCAAUGAUUCAGGGUCCCUUCCAUGGCUUUGGCUAGGGGUGAGUCAUCUGAGAACGAGAAGAAUUGAAGAAGGUAAGGCAGUUGUUUCAAUGAAAAUGGAAUGGAAUCUGCUUCUUCUCUAGGCAAAGCCUGAGGAUAAGCUGAAGGAUCUCUCUUGCGAAAAAUAAAUCGGCAUCGUUUCGCCAAUCUUUAGAUCCUUCAAGGUGAAGAACACCAUCGUUGAAGGGUCCAUGUGAUUCAUGUGGGAUGGUAUUGAAUGAGAAUCAUGAAGAUUCUCCGAAAGCACCUGAGCACACUGUAAAACAGUUGAGCAAUUCAAUAUGACAACAUAGAUGAAAAAUCAACAACACAAGUUCUAUAAAGUGUAAAACUGAAGGAGCAAAAUAUAUCUUUUUGAGUUAUUGCUUUAAGACAACACUUAUGUACAUCUAUUGCAAAGUAAGCACUUCCUUAGCACACAUUGAGGAUUAUUACCAGAAAGAGUAGAGAAAGAAGGAGGUUCCAAACUGAAAAUCUUAACCCCAUCUCUUUUCUAUUAUCGAAGUUUCUUAUGUAUUUUAGUAAUCUUUUUGUUUUUUUUUUUAAGGGAGAGGAAACACAGAUAACAAGUGAAGCAGAAAGAGAAGAGAUUGUGUAACUGUAUAUGUCAACAACCAAAUGAUGUGUGUUAAUUUUCAAGUGGAAAUUUAUAGCCUGCAUAAGCUGAACUUGUUCUACUGUGCUGAUUAAUUGAAUCACAACACAGUUUGAAUAAUGACCUUAAUAGUCCAAUCCAGCAAAGAAUUCAGCACUCCAAUCAUUUGGGGACACACGUAUUGCACCUUCAUCAGGUCUGCGGAUUUUAAUAGUUUUGACUGAGUGAAUGAUUACUUCAAUUGAUAACAUUGCAUAUUAGAUUACCAGACCUAAAAUUGAUUUCUUAUUAAAAAAUUUACUUGCAAUUUGGAAACUCUCUUUGACACAUUAAUUACAGACUCGAAAUCUGUAUCAAUAUUCCCCAUACAUAGACAGAACUGAGCAUAAAAAGUGGGAAGGCAGAUCGUAAACAAAUUCGACAUGGUAGUUUCCAAGGAUGAAUAGCAUUUUUUUCAUUCAAAAAUGGGAUAAUAUAUCCUUCAGUCACGUAAUGUACACUAAGGCGGCGUUUGGUUGGGAGGAGAGAACAAAGAAGAGGAAAGUAAUUUAAAUUUUCUUUUUAUUUUCAUUGUUUGGUUUGAUAAAAUAUAUAAGAAUUUAAUUUCCAUUAGAAUUUAAUAUCCAUCAUAAUUUGAAUUCCACACCAAGUAGUGAAGAAUUUAAAUUCCUCUUAUGUUAGAAACUAAAGUUUCCAAAAUUACCCUUCAACUUGUUUAAUGUCAUUAAUAAUUAUUAUUUAAUAUUAUAAAUGGAUCACCGCCGGAAAGUCGCCGGACUACCGCCGGAAAGUCACUGGAAAGUUACCGGGCCACCUCGGAAUGUUGCCGGAAAGUCACCAGACCACUGCCGAAAGUUGCCGGACGUCGCCAAAAUCCUGCCGAACGUUGCCAUAAGGUAGUUUCCAAGGAUGAAUAGCAUUUUUUUUUCAUUCGAGAAUGGGAUAAUUUAUCCUUCAGUCACGUAAUGUACACUAAAGCUCUUCUCAACCUAGUGUGCGUCGGAUAUGUGAGCGUCGGGGCUCCAAUCUCCCGUACAAUCUUUAAAAUUUUGUUUGGUCAAAUUAACAGGCUGCACUCACUGUAUUUCCAUGGAUCACACUACUUCAACUAAAAGAUAAGAUAAUAAGUAUCUUUAGGAUUUUACUGAAUGAUUUUUAAGUAGUUUUUAUUAAUUAAUUAUUCAAAUUCGAAUUAAAAAAAGACUAAAAAAUUCAUCUGAAUUUUUCUCACUCCCAAUCUUUAAAAAUAAAACAAAUAAUAAGUCAUAUAAACAAUAUUUUAAAUGCAAUUUUCACUUCAAACAUAUUUCAUUUGAAGUUUAAUUAUAUUCUCCGAUGGAACCUGGAUAAGUUGAAAAAAAAUUUAUUAAUAAAAAAAAUGUACAUCUAAUUGUCUAACGAUGGGUCAAGAACAAAAGGUUAAAAGAUAAUAUACGUGGACAUGAUAAUGCAGAAACCGAAAAUCAAAAGGGCACGAGUUUCAAAUGCUAGACAAAUGAAAGAGACGUGUGAUUGCAGGUCGAUUUUCUUCUCAUCACUAGCCACUAGUGUUGUGCGCGGAAUGCGGAAUCAAGCGCACCAAAUAAUUAUUGAAAAAUAAAGGACACAAGAAUUUACGUGGUUCGGUAAUUAAACCUACAUCCACGGAGACAAGAAAGAAUAAUUGUUUAUUUAACAAUUAAUAGAAUACAAUAUUUGAGUAACGAAUCUCACUUCCCAGAAAACCCAAAUAUACCCAGUACUCUCACACUCUGCAAGAAAGAUAAAUUCCCCAGACACACUUCUCUCACUUCUCUCAAAAGCUUAGAAACUUAUAAGCUUGACAAUUUUGGGAUGAUUUCAAAUGAAUGAAAUCCUUAGCUAUUUAUAGACUUGAAGCUAGUAUUAUUCCACCUAACCCAAGUACUAUUUCACCUAACCCAAGCACUAUUCCACCUAACCCAUGCAAAUAUGUCAAUGGUGUCCAUUUGGCAAAUUUGACAAAUUUGCCAACUUUCCAUUUUUUCUUCAAAUGUUUGGUAGCUCUUUGAAAAAUUGCCACAUGCAUGACUUUUCAACAAUUCUCCACCUCGGCGAAAAUUUGUCCAAAUCUGAGCCGACUACCAACGAACCCUCAUCCCCAAAGUGAUCCUUCAAUAAGGAUCCAGAAUGACUGUGUCGAUUCGACUGUCUACGUACCCAAAAUUUGGGAUCAAGCCAACCGUAGUUCAAAAAUUCUCCAAACUCAACGCAUUCGAAGAAUUAGUUUCAAUCCGUAUAAAGAUUUACUCAAUCUGCACACACGAUUUUCCUUUCCAGCAACUCUGAAACCACAAGGCUGAAUCAUAUAGAUUUUCUCCUCUAAAUCUCCAUGUAAGAACGCCGUCUUAACAUCCAACUGAGCUAACUCUAACUCAUAUUCUGCAACUAAGGCAAGUAGGAUACGAAUGGAAGUAUGUUUUACAAUUGGAGAGAAAACUUCAUUGUAGUCCAUACCUUCCUUUUGAGCAAAACCUUUUGCCACGAGCCUUGCCUUGUAUCGAGGAGUUGUUUGAUUCGGAGAUCCUUGCUUUUUGGUGUAGACCCAUUUAUUGCCAAUAGCCCUUUUCCCCUUUGGUAACUUUACAAGUUCCCAAGUCUGGUUUUGAUGGAGAGAUUUCAUCUCUUCCUCCAUGGCUAGCUUCCACUGAUCACUUUCAUUGCUGCGUAAUGCUUCACCGAAAGUAUUGGGGAUGUCAUCAUCAAUAACUGAAAGUGCAUAGGCUACCACCAUAUCUUUAGUAAGCCAUCCGGGUUUUUUUAUCUCUCUUUUUGGCCUCCUUGUUGCUAUAAAAUCAUCAUCAUCUACAUCAUCAAUUGUUUUUUCAUUUUGUGGGACAUCAGAAGAAACAACCUCUUCUUCAACUUUAGGUGUCACCUCCAUAGUUGAACCAUUCUUUGAUGUAGAACUAACUUGUACAUAUGGAGUUGCAUCAAACUCCACCCGCUGCAAUACCUCUGUGGUCUUGUUCUCCACCUGCUGAGAACUUGAAGCUUUUAUCAUUGAAGCUUCAUCAAAUGUGACAUCUCCGCUACACACAAACUUUUUGUCUUCGAGAUCCCAAAGCUUGAAGCCCUUUACUCCACCUUUGAAUCCCACAAAGAUAGAUUUUUUAGCACGAGGAUCCAGUUUACCAUCUUUGACAUGAUAAUAAGCUGGACACCCGAAUACACGAAGGGAAUCAUAGUCUUGUGCAUGCUUUCCAGACCCCAUUUCCAUAUGAGUUUUACCUCCAAUUGCAGCAGAAGGCAACCGAUUUACCAAGUGACUUGCGUAGCUCACAGUUUCAGCCCAAAACUUUUUAUCUAAACCAGCAUUAGAUAACAUACAUCGUACCUUCUCCAGUAAAGUACGAUUCAUACGCUCAGCCACACCGUUCUGUUGCGGAGUAUGUCUCACCGUGAAAUGUCUUUUAAUACCCUCGUUCUGGCAUACUUGCAAGAAUGGAUCAGAAGUAUAUUCACCCCCAUUAUCAGAUCGUAAUACUUUGAUCUUUCUGCCAGUUUGAGUCUCCACCAAUUUCUUCCACUUCACGAAAAUCUUUAGAACCUCAUCCUUUGCUCGCAUGGUGUACACCCAUACACGUCUAGAGAAAUCAUCAACAAAUAUAACAAAAUAAUGGCUUCCACCAAUUGAUGCAGUCUUGGUUGGUCCCCAUACAUCACUAUGAACAUAUUCAAGGAUCUCACGAGUAUCGUGAUUAGCUGUACCAAACUUGACCCUUGUUUUCUUGCCUACUACACAAUGCUCACAGAAAUUUAAUUUACAGGUUUUGGUACCUUUUAAGAGUCCAUGCCUCAUCAGAGUUUGCAAAGACUUCUCUCCUGCAUGUCCCAGUCGUACAUGCCAUAGCUUGGUGGUGUCACUGUGCGCCUCAACAACAUUUGCUUCAUCAGUUGUACCUCUCUUCAAAUAGUACAAAUUGUGACGCCGAACCCCUUGCAGAAUCAUCAUAGCCCCAUGUGUAAACUUCAUUGUGCCAUCUUCAAUGGUAACUUUGUAACCUUUAGCUUCCAAAGCACCCACAGAAAUUAGAUUUUUCUUUAUCUCUGGAACAAAUCUAACCUAUUUGAGUUCUCUGACCAUUCCAUCAAACAUUUUGAGCCGAAUUGUUUCUAUCCCCAUUGUGCGACAAGGUUGAUUAUUCCCCAUCAUAACUGCACCGGAUUCCAGAUUACGAAAAUCCGUAAACCAUUCCUUAAUAGGACACAAAUGAUAGGUUGCUCCAGUAUCAAGUGUCCACUCACUCGAACUAGCCACGUAUGCUGCAGGAGUAAUACUUAGUGAAUAAUCAGAGUUCUCAUCUUUCCGUGCCAUGUUUACUGCUGCUGGUUUCUUCCCAUCUCUCUUUUGAGCCUUUGGACAAUCUUUUCUCCAAUGACCCUUUUCAUGAAAAAAGGCACACUCAUCUCGAGCUAUAUUUCUGCUUCUUGAUUUGGAUCAAGAAUUCAUUCCACCACGGUUCUUCUGUUUCUCCAUCGCCCAAUCUCUGCUCACCAAAGCUUCAGACGAUGCUCGUUCAGAAUUUUUAUCAUUAUUCUGAAUCUCCAAACUAGUCAAUGCUGUGCAAACAUCUUUAAAGACGAUCACACUCUUCCCAUAUAUCAAAGUAGUCACAAAAUGGCUAUAUUCCUCUGGUAGUGAGUGUAACAGAAUCAUAGCCUUAACUUCAUCUUUAAUAUCUUCAUCAAGAUUCUUCAAAUCAGCAAGUAACUUUUCAAAUCUUGAAACAUGAUCGUGCAUUGACACCCCAGGCUUCAUUCGAAAACCAUAUACUUGGCUCAUUACAUGAAGGCGAUUUUCAGGACUUUUCACCAGGUACUUCUCCUCCAAUGUACGCCACAAAGUCACCGCACACUCCUCAUCUUUCACCAAGUAUUUCACCUCCUUGGUCAAACAAGAUCUGAUAUGACCACAAGUUUUUUCGUUCAUACGAUCCCAAAUUUCUUCAUCAUACAAGUGCCUUUUAUUUUUUAGAACAACAUCGAGAUCGAUUUGAAUAAGGGCAUCCAUAACUUCGCGCCUCCACAUGCCGAAGUUGAUUUUCCCAUCAAACUUUUCAACAUCGAUCUUUUGGCCUCCUAUAACAUGUGCUGAAUAGCGAUUUGAUAAAUCUCGCCUCCCACCUGAAGUGUCUCCUGAAAUAGUCUCGGUAGAUAUCUCCCUAAUUCUGGAAGUUUCACCUUCUACCAUUUUCUCAACGAACUAUUUCCACUUAAAAAACAGUCUCUAUGAUGUUAAUUUCGCGUGAAUAAAUGCACCAGGAAAGUUCCCAGGAAACUGGACGGGAACUCGGUCCCAAUUAAAAACCAGAAUCCUUAGACUCUUAUCGCCUUUUUUGACAGAACUUUCCUAGACAUGCAAAAAUACACACUACUUACAAUAGACUGUCUCCCAAGUACAAAUGGCCGUCUCCACCGUAUUCGUAAAUAGUGCCGUAUAUGUGAACAGUACCGUAUACGUGAACAAUACCGUAUACGUGAACAGUACUGUAUCCCCCCAAGUACGAACCGUCGGCUCUGAUACCACUUGUUGUGCGCGGAAUGCGGAAUCAAGCGCACCAAAUAAUUACUGAAAAAUAAAGGACACAAGAAUUUACGUGGUUCGGUAAUUAAACCUACAUCCACGGAGGCAAGAAAGAAUAAUUGUUUAUUUAACAAUUAAUAGAAUACAAUAUUUGAGUAACGAAUCUCACUUCCCAGAAAACCCAAAUAUAUCCAGUACUCUCACACUCUGCAGGAAAGAUAAAUUCCCCAGACACACUUCUCUCAAAAGCUUAGAAACUUAUAAGCUUAACAAUUUUGGGAUGAUUUCAAAUGAAUGAAAUCCUUAGCUAUUUAUAGACUUGAAGCUAGUACUAUUCCACCUAACCCAAGUACUAUUUCACCUAACCCAAGCAUUAUUCCACCUAACCCAUGCAAAUAUGUCAAUGGUGUCCAUUUGGUAAAUUUAACAAAUUUACCAACUUUCCAUUUUUUCUUCAAAUGUUUGAUAGCUCUUUGAAAAAUUGCCACAUGCAUGACUUUUCAACAACUAGCACACAUCCCCUUAAUCAAAAUCUUUUUCAAUAUUGUUUAUUAUAUAAAUGGAUAUUGGUAGUGGUUGAACUUCUAUUAUUUAAUUAUGUUGUCAUUUUCCAUCACUACAACAACAGAUGAUUCAAGUAGGAUCGAUCAAUAAUUGUCGCCCAAUGUUUUGUCUUUUUCAUAAUUUAGUUAUUUUUGUUCAUAUGUCUGACGAAGAAGUUUUAAUUUUGCAAGAGGAAUUCAAGUUGAUAAGACCUUGUCGACUUGUCUUCUGCUGAAGAAUCUUGAAUAAUCAUGCCAAAUUCAAAAAGUGGCAAAAGCAAAAGGCUAAGUUCUUAAUGAAUUCAAUAUUAUUACGAAUUUGGUGCUAGCUCAAUCUUGAAAAUGAUCCAAAAAUUAAAAAGUAAACAUAUAAUAAUCACAUCUACAAAUGUACAUUAUUAGUGAGUCAUUGAUGAUAUCCCAUCACGAAUUCAUUAGCUGACUAAUUAAAGAUACCACGAAAAUAUUAUAUCAUUAGCUGGUCUAAAAAAGUAGUCAAUAAGAAAAUGAAAGGUAAAUUCAUAAAUUUCAGCCGGAAUUUUUUUUUUUUUUUUAAAAGGACCAAUAAUUGUAGGAAAUGGCUAGCUUCUUAUCCUCUUCACAAAAGAUUAAAUCCUCUUGAAAAGGUUUGUUACUGAAAUACAUAUCAUAUUACACCAACACUCUCUAUUACCAUAUGAAUUUAGAUCUUCCCCUAACUUAAUAUUUCAUAUAAUAUUGUAGGAAUAAUCUUCAUCACCGGAGAUUAGGAUCUUCUCCUAACUUAAUAUCUCAUAAGUGUUGUAUGAGAUUAUUUAGCUCAUGUCAUUAUAUUUUUCUAAAGCUAGGAUUUAAUUUACUUUAUACUUUCCUUAUUAAACAUUAAAACCAAUAAUUUUCUAGGCUAAGUAAAACCAUGAAAUUCAAGUGUGCCGCUUUCUAACCAAACUGCUGCUUCUUUCUCUACCGUUUUUUUUUUUUUUUUUUGGUCACAAACUUUAAACUGUGGUAUAUAUAAACUUGAGCAAAGAAGCAUUAUUGGUAGGAUUGGCAAUGAGACGGGAUGGGAUGAGAUUUACCAAUCCCACUCCCGUCCCGCAUAUAUAAUUGAGAUAAAAAAAUGUCUCACUCCCAUCCUUCAAUUUUUUUAUGGGACCAAAAUAUAUCCCAAUCCUGUCCCAAAUUGCCAUCCCUAAUUAUUGGCAAUUCAUUCUUUUAAGAAUUGUUUAUGUAAUGGAAUCAGACCAGAACAGAAUGCAUUAUUGUUCGAUAUACGUAGUCUACAAUAACAAUUGAAGACACCUGAAGAUAAUAUCAAUUAUAGACAAUUGUUAUUGCAAUAUAUUCAAUGCAUUGUUGCUAUCGCUUGUCUGCAAUUAAUUUUAUAUAAAUUAAGCUGAUAUAUCUCAUUUCAGUGUACUAAUAAUUAAGUUGAACGUUGAUGCAGCUACUGCUAUUUCCAGGAACACAGCUUUCUAGGAGCCAUUAUUCGUAAUGUGAGAAGGGAGAUUAAUUAUGGCAGUAGCUAUCUAAAGUAAAAUUUUGGAGAUCUUGAAUUCGCAGAAGCAGAAGCAAUGAGAUUUGGGAUCGAAAUAUGCAAACGGCACAGGUCUAUUUCCAUUCAUUAUUGAAUCAGAUACUAAGAAUGUUGUCAAUCUUGCUGCAGCACUUGAAAGUACUAGAAAAGAGAUUCUUUGAGUGAUAUAUCUCUGAUAUUUAAUUGUUGGCUAGACAACUGGCAAUUUCAAAUUUGUAUUCAUUCCUAGAAUAUGUAACGUGGAAGUUCAUAGAUUAGCUAAACUUGCAGUUAGCGAUCAGAAAGCCGUAUUGUUUGGAUUGAGAAUAUUCCUAUAGAUGUAAAAUCUUAUCAUUUUUGAAGAAUUUUUUACUUUGAAAAUAAAAUAAUUAAGGGCCAUCUCUAUCGUUGCGAAUUGUAACUCGUAGACUUUGCGGUCCACAUUAUGAAUUUAAAAUUCUUGCAUGAUUAAUCACCCACAUGAGCAUGCUCCCCCAACCUGCCACAUCAUGUUACCACUUCUUCCAAUCUGUGUAUACACACACACACACACACACACCAGUAUGGCCUCCAUGCAAAUCACAAACGCAGUAUCUAAUAUUGUUUGUCACUGGCAAGAAACAUGAAUAUUAAAGCCUUCUUUGUUCUCUCCACAGUGCUCUCAUUGCUUCUCUUGUUAUGUAUCAUUUGAUCAGUAAUAAUGUUAGGUUAAUCACAAAUUCAUUAUAUAAAAUAUUUUGUACAAAAUUGAUAACACAUAAUGUACAGUAUCGAUGUGAUAAGAACACCACACAACCCGAUCAUUAUUUUAUAUUUCCAUUCAACCAAUACUAUUUUAUCACAUCAGCUUUAAGAGUAGCUUAAUUAUAGCUAGCUCUAGCAUUACUCGUUUUGAUUCAAAUGAUUUUCGAAUUUUUAUCAUUUGCAUGGUCAAUAUAUAGUUCCUCUCUCUUUUUUUUAUUUUUUAUUAAUUGUUUUCCUUGUGUGCAGUUUGCCAACAUGAUAGAUGCAAGAAAAUACCAUGGAGACGAUUGGAGUAUUGUCGUGAAAAAUCAAGACAUGCCUUGGGAAUCAACUCAAGGUCUCAUUCCCGAAGUUCAAGGCCCGACCAUCUCUAAAACCAAAGCCUAUUGCCAUACACAUGAUGAUUCUGAGCACACCAUGGAGAAGCCUUUUGUCAAUAAGAACUUUGAGCUGAUGCCUGAUGUUUCAAUCUAUGACAACGGUAUUAAGCCAACCAAACAAAAGGCUUUUGCCAAGCACUUCGAGUUCUUGCCUGAUGUUUCAAUUUACGACAACGGUAUUAAGCCAACCAAACAAAAGUUCUUCGCCAAGGACUUCGAGCUCAUGCCUGAUGUUUCUAUUUAUGACAAUGGUGUAAAGCUAGCCAAACAAAGGUUCUCCGCCAAGGACUUCGAACUCAUACCUGAUAUUUCAAUUUAUAACAAUGGUGUAGAGCUAGCCAAACAGAAGGCAUUCGCCAAAGGCUUCGAGCUCAUGCCUGAUGUUUCAAUUUAUGACAAUGAUAUUAAACCAACGAAGAAGAGUUCAUAUGCCAAGGACUUUGAGCUGAAGGCUGAUAUUUCAAUUCAUGAACCGACCGAACAAAAAUAGGUAAUUAGCAUUACGGAUCUGCAGCCAGAUGCUACAAUUUAUCAUAAUUAAAUAGAUGAUCAUGCUUGUAAUCAGGCGCAGGAUGGAGUCUCUUACCAUAUUUAAUGUUCUAGAAGAGUAGCCACAUACGUGCAAUAACGCUUUCCUUGUUUGUGUGUGUUGUCAAAAGCGCUGUUUCUAAAGUAAUGUAAUAAGUGCUGAAAUAACCCAUGCAAUAAAAUCAUGUCAUGCGUCUUUAAUUUUUUUUUUCUCUCUCUCUUAAACAAUCUUAUGAUAGAUUAUUUACAAGUUAUAAUUUAUAAAGAGAGAAACUAUAUUAAAAUAAUGCUUUUUACAUAAAUAUUCUAUCCAUUAAUCUCGUAUAGCUAAUUAAGUUUGUUUUUUUUUUUUUUAUUUACAACGACAUCCUUAGAUGUUUAAAUUGUUUUUUUUUUAAAGGUAAAAGGGUUGGGUCAAUCAAAAUUAAUUUUUUCACCCUGAUCUCUUUGAGAUUCGAACUUAGGUGGCUAGCUAACUAAGAUUAUUUGAAACCAUUCGGUUGGGUUUCUAGGGGCCUUGGAUGUUUAAAAUUUGUAUUUUGAAUUGUUAUUCAGAUGGAACAAUAUAAUUAACUUUAAUUUCAAAGUCAAUUUGACCCUAUUUAAUUUUGAGAUGCUGUUACUUUUAAACUAGCUACUUGGGAAAAAAAAAAAGUCGUAACCUUAAAAUAAAAAGUGAUACUGUGUGGAAAAUAUGAUUUUAAAUAAUAAUUUUGACAAAAUAGCAAAGAAAUAUUAUUUAAAUUAUUAUUACCAGCCAAACAAAAAUAGGUUUUUUAUUAUACAAAUGCAAGAUCAAAUCAACUUAAUUUUUGAGUUACAACAACUACUACUUACUAAACACUUUGAUGUCAAUACCAAAUAGGCCUCUUUUUUCCUCUCCCUCUCUAAUUUGUAAGACUACCCAACCAUAUAUUGUAUAAUAUUCAAUUAUUAUAUUAACUAGUUUUAUUUUCUUAUGAUCACAUGAUAUCUUUUUUUUUUUCAAGAAUCUGAACAGAUAAUGGUUUUAAAGCUCAGAAGUAGAUCUGAUUCUAAAUAUUUGGAAAUUGAAAAAAAAAAAAAAACUAAUUCACAUUUGCAGAAGAAGGUAUGUACUUGAUAACUUGAACGCCAUGAUGGUAUAUAAUUAAAUUUAACUAUUGUUAUAUUUUUAUUUAUUAAUCACUAAUUAUUCACGAUGAAUUUUAUUUGAAUAAGUUCAUAUCAUGAUAGAAUCUUAAUUCAAAUACAUAUGAAAAAAAAAAAUCUAUGACUGCACUAAUAAGAUAUUUCAUUUAAUCAUGUGAUAUUAAAAUGAAAAUUAUGAUAGAUAAACUUAAAUUUUCCAUUUUCCCCCCUUUAUCAUCUCACAUGGGCCACUUCAAUUCGCUGAAAUCCUGAUGCUUCGGCCUCCAGAUGUAAAAGAACAUGAGUCACAUAUAGUAUUGGUAGAUGCGUGAAUGGAUCACAUCUCACUCAACCAACAAAUUGCAUGUCAUCUGGAAAAUGAUUUAAAUAAAUGAACAAAUACUCAGUCCUCUAUUUUAAGUUAAGUAUUUGUUUAUUCCUUAUAUUUUAAAAAUAUCUCAAAAUAAGUUGUAGUUAAAUAUAUUACAUUCUUAAUCUUGUUUUUGCUUUGCUUUUAUAAUAAUGCCCUUAUAAUAAUAUUCUUGACAUUAAUUAAUUUAUCUAUAAAAUUUUAAUUAGAAAAUUAACCAAUAAUUAUUUAGUAAUAAAUUAACCAAUAAAUAUUAGUACAAAAGAACUAAUAUUUUUUGUACAUGUGCGACAAUCGUGCUAAUAAUUUAUUUAUAAAUAAAAUUAAUAUUAGUCAACUUAAAGUAAUGCUUAUCAUCCUUGCAAUAAUUUUACUAAUAAUUAUUUUAUAAAAAAUUAAUUUACCAAAUUAAUCCUAAAAGUAAAAUAAUAACAUAAAAAAAAAUUACUGUAAAAAUUUUUAUGCUACUUUGAAGGCUAAUUUGAUAAAGAAUGGAACUACUAGCACUCCUUCAAAAUCUUUUUUAAGACCCCUUUUUAAAUACACCCAAUCAAAUAAAUGAAAAAUUAUAUCACUUCUAAAAACAACCAUCUUUAUUCCACAAUUGUCCUUCAAUCUUAUCUCUCAUAAAAUGAUAAAAUUACAAAAAUAAAAAUCUUUUUGUGGAUACUAUUGCAAUAAUGAUCAUUAGCAUUCUUCACAAAUUUGAUUAACAAGUAUGGAAUGGUAUGUAACUUUAGAUUUCUAAAUUUUAACUUUUCUUUAUGUUUUGCAACAAAUAUACCUUCUAUUUUAAUAUAUGAUACCUAUUAAUUUAAUUUUUUUCAAAUAACAAAACUCACUUGUUCAAACAAACAAUGAGACCAAAAAAAGCAAGGGAAAAAAAGUGAACAAAUAAAAGGUAGAACUACUUGACACAUAAAAACUUUAAAAAAAAAUGAAAAAGAAGAGAUCUAGUAAAAGAAGUAUGAGUAUAAAAUAAGCCAGGCAAUGAAAGAAUCAUAGCUUUUCGACAAAUUCCAUGUCAAUGUCCUUUUGGAAUAAAUUUUUAAUGUUAUCUAUUUGAAUAAUGAUGGUGGUUGAGUUUCCACUUUCCAUUAUGCUCUCGAAUGUAAGCUUCUGAUGCGUCUUCUAAAAUAAUUCUAGAUAUUUUAUUUUAAAUUUAUUUGAAUUUGUAAGUUACCCUUUUAAUUGCGGUUAUCAUGUAAACAAUUGUUGCCAAAUCAUAAACAAAAUCCUGAGUAGGGACGAUAAUGGGACGGUUUUGAUCGAUGAUCCACUUAAUCUAAAUCUAAAUUUAUCAUAUUUGGAUCAGUAUAAAAUGAAUUUGGAGUGGGUACAUAUGAAUCUAGAUGAGUAAAUUCAAAACAAAUUUAAAGCACGUAUACAAAUCUAACUUAAAAUUCGGAUCCGUAUCCAUAUCUAAUUAGAAAUCUUUUAAUUUUAUUUUAUUUUUAAAAGUAUUAAACUAUCGAUGGUUUAAUACUUUUACAAUCAAAUUAAACUUAUACCUAGCUUACUGAAAUCAUACCACAUUUAUGAGAUGCAAUAUAUUAUCAGUUUUAUAUGAAAUUCAAAGUAUUAUUUUUAAUUUUAUUUAAGAUGAAUUAUGUGUUUUAGUUGAUAGUAAGACGUUUUUUUCUCAAAUAUUUUUGUGCUCUUAUUAUUCUUAUGAGGCUUGAAAGUUUAAUAAGAUAAAUUUAUUAAUAUUCUAUUAUAAUAUAUAAAAUUUUAAAAUUAAAAAUUGAUAAAUCCAAGAUAGAUUUGGAGCAAAUCCGAACCUUUAUUUUAAAUUUGAACUUAAAUAUACAGUAAAAAUCAUAAAUCUAUAAUGAAUUUAGAGUAAAUACAAAUCUCAAUUUUUAUUAUUAAUCAAGAAUUAGAACAGAAUAGAUCCAGCUGAUAUAUAUGUCCCAUUGUCAUCCCUGUGACUGAUGAAAAGAUAUAGGAAAAUAAACAGGAGUUUAAUAAGCUAGACAAUAAAAGAAUCAUAUAUAGCAAUGAUUGAUUCUUUCUUCCUAUCCUUAUGAAAUCUUUCUCAAUGUCUUUUCUACGAAAUCUUUUUUAAUGUCCUUUUCGAAAAUAUCACCCUUCAGCCAAUGACUUUGAGCUGAAGGCUGGUAUUUCAAUUCAUGAACCAACCGAACAAAAAUCGUUUGUCAACAAUAUGGAUCAGCAGCCAGAAGCUACAAUUUAUCAUUAUUAAAUAGGUGAUCAUGCUUGCAACCAGGCGCAGGACAGAGUCUCUGACCAUAUUUAAAUGUUGUAGAAGCGUAGCCAUAUAUAUGAAACGUUUCACUUUGUUUUCGUAUGUUAUCAAAGGCUCAGUUUUAAAAGUAAUAUUGUAAUAAGUAUUGAAGUGUCCCAUGCAAUAAAAUCGAAGUGUCCCAUGCAACAAAAUCAUGUCAUGCGUCUUAAAUUUAUUUUGCCCUCUUAUUUAUCCUAGAUGGUAAAUACUGUUAUGAUAGAUUAUUCAAAAGGUUAUAAGGGGAGAAGAUAAGUUUAUUUUUUUUUGGGGAAAAACAUUUCCUUGCUGAAAAAAGCAAAAAUUUACAUAAGUACUGCAAUGUCUGUGGGCGGCUCUUCCAACUGAAUAAGAUCGUUAAUCAAAGAGAGUGCUAAUUUUGCUAACUGAUAAGAAACUGUAUUACAAUUUCUAAUUUCUGAAAUGAUCCAUUCAAUCUCCUUUCUACUUGAUAAAACGCCCGUAAUUAGAUGGACAAGAUUUACUGAAUCAAAUUCCACAAUAAAAAGAGUUAAGCAUAAAUCUAUCGCCGGCUUGAUGCCUUCUAGGAUAGCUUCAGCCUCUGCAAACUCGAUGUCGCUAAGAAAAGAUUUCUUGUGGCUGAGCCAGCUAUAAAAUCUCCCUUGAAAUUUCCUAUAAUUGCACCCAAACCUGUAAUUCCAUUGGAGAUGUCAAUCGGUGCAUCAACGUUCAAGUUGUACCAAUGAUUAUCCGGUGGAAUCCAACUAACACCCUUCUUGGUUGGAGGGACUAGAAACUCUUGAAUUGGAGAGCCUUGAGCAGCAGUGUACGAAUUCAAAACAGCUUCAGCCUUGCAAAGAACACUCUUUGGGUCCAUCUUUUGAUUCUGAUAGAGCGCUAUGUUCCUAGAAUGCCAAAUAGACCAUGUAAUCAUCCCAAACGAUGGUAGUCCUCUUUUGACAGCCAAGAUUCCAAAUUCUUUGCAAAGAGAGCAAAAUCCAUAUGAGGGUUAUUCGUUACAUAAGCAGCCAAAGUUGACAACUUCCACACCUUGAUCGCAAACUUAUAGCCAACUAACUCAUGAAAGGUACCCUCAAUAGCACUAAAACAUCGAUGACAAUUUGGAGAAUCCACUACUUUUCAUUUCAAAAGAUUAUUUGAUGUAGAGAGUAUAUUACGUAGAGCUCUCCAAAAAAAAGAUCGACUUUAGAUGGAAUGGAUAAAAGCCAAGCGGGAUACCCCAAUUAGCAUAGCCAAAUGAACUUAGAGGGGGAAUUAGGAUAAGUAAGACUAAGGGCCACUUGUAACCACUCUUAAAAGUUUACAAAUUUAUUUUGUACAAACUGAUUUGACAUUAACUUAUUGAUUAAAUAAAAAUACAACAACAUGUUUUUAUAUUUAAAAUAUAUAUAUUCACAUAUACGAAGGUAUAUACUUGAACAAUAUGAGUAAUACAUGUGAAUUAAAAUCAUCUCCUAAUCUAAGCUCCAUUAAUUAAUUUUAAAAAAAACUUGUCACAUGUUUUUAGUAUAGUGUAUAAUUAUUGUUAUGUUUUUAUUUAUUAAUUUCCAAUUACCUGCUAUAUAUCUUACUCAACAAUGUUUUGAUCAUGAGAGAAUUUUAAUUCAAAUACAUAUGAAAAAAAAAGAAGAAGAAAUCUGAGACCAUACUAAUAAGAGAUUUCCUUUCAUGUGAUUUUAAGAUCAAAAUUAUGAUAGUAUGCAAAACUUGGUUGCGUUUAGUAUUGUUCUUUAAACAUGUUUUUUGUAUUUAUUUUAUAAUAUAGAUAUGAUUAAUAUUUGAUGAAUUUGAAAAUUUGUUUGGUAUAUAGUAUAUAGUAUGAAUUUGACCACUAAAUAUUAAUAAUUAUAUUUAUAUACAAAAUUAAAAAAAAAUAAGGAUUUCUCUACCUUAACGUUUAAUGUAAGGUACAUCCCUUACAAAUUGAGCUAUAAGUCCACUUGAGCCCACAGCCAAUAGAGAGGUUGUACCUUACAUUAAAUGUAAGUAGAGAUGGCCAAUGGGUCGGGCGGCACAAGGCACAGCACGUGUCCGUACAACAUGGCACGACACGAGCACGUUUUCGGUAGGGCACGAAGCACGGCACGGCACGCAAAAAGGCACGUAAUAAGCACGCUUCAUUGAUAGGCUAAGCACGUAGCCCGUGGGCCAAAGUAUAUCAAAAUAAAAAAUUUUAAUGAAAAAUAAAUAUAAAAUAUCAUGAUUUUAUAAAUAUCUUGAAAAUUAAAUUUUUUAAUAUAUUUUUUUAGCAUAGGUUUUUUAAAAUUAAUUUAAGUCCUAGUUUAAAUAAAUAUUCUAAUUUUUUAUGUUUAUAAUUUAUUAAAUGGAAUAAAUAAAUAUCAUGAUUUUAUAAAUGAUAAAUGAAAAAUUUUACGACAUUAAUAUUUCAUUUAUGAAAUCAUAACUUAGUUAAUAGUUAAUGGAGAUAUGUUUCAUUUAGUGAAUGAAAUAUUUUCAUAUUUAUGCACAAAAAAAUAAAAUUAUGAACAAAAUAUUUUUAUGAUAAAUUAAAAAUUACAUUUUCAUUCAAUGGAGUUUAUGUGCAAUUAUAAUAUUAGUAGCUCAAAUAAAAUUAGAUGUAAUUGUAUUCUAGAAUUGUAAUUUUAUUUCAUUAAUUUAUACUAUGAUCUAUGAAAUUAUAUUAUUAUUGUCGUUGUUGUUGUUGUUAUUAUUAUUAUUAUUAGGCUGGUAGGGUUAAAAAAGCACGCCAGGCACGUGGACUUUUUAGGCAUACUGGACAUGUGGACAAAGAAAAAAGGUUGGUGGCUUUUUUUUGGCACGGCCCACGGCACGAGUUUGGACAUGUGGACAAAAAAAAGUUGGUAUGGGUUUUUUUAGCACGAACCACGGCACGGUACGGCACGAGUGGGCUCGUGCCGUGGGCCGUGCCGGCUCACGAGCCCGUGGGCUGACAUUUUGUGGGCCGUGCCGUGCUGGCCAUCAUUAAAUGUAAGGUAACAGCUCCCAAAAAAUAAAUGAAAGAGAGAGGCAACAUAGCAUAAUACGGGCCGGACCCACAUCUUCAUAAAACUAUGUCAUAAAAGCAGUGGUAGUUCCUAUGAACAAAGUGAAGAAUAAAGAUUUGAUGCUGUCUAAUUAUCUUCGUUAACAUUGUAAAAUAGAUAUGGUUUGCUUUCAUAAUAAUAAAAAUGUUACUGUUACUGAGGCUUAUCAAACAUUUUUUUCUAUUCUUAUAAAAUAGAAAAUGAGUGAUGAAAAACAAUACCAUACAGCCCAAAUUUUUUCCAUUUUUACCCCUUUAAUCAUAGCCUAUCGGCCUCUCCAAUUAGUUGAAAUCUUGAUGAUUCGACCACAGUUGUAAGAGAAAUUCUAGAAUAUAUCUAUUGUAUUAUAACUAAUUAAUGCAUGCACGACAUGCGUAAUUGAGUUUAAUACAACCACCACUUGCAUGAUAGUUUACAAAAUAAAUGCACACAUCAUGAUAUUAUUGCUUGUUGUAUGGGUGACAUAGUACAACAGAUGUAUUCUAGAAUUUCUCCAAGUUGUAAAAUACCAUUUGAGUCACAUAUAUUAUUGGUAGAUGAGUAGAUCGCAUCUCCCUCAACCAACGAAUUGCAUGUCAAUGUGAAAAUUGAUUUAACUGUUUAGUCUGUUUUUCAAUGAGACGUUUUCGUUCAAACUUUUACCUUCAAUCAAUGGGACCGAAGAAAGUAGGAAAAAAAAAAUUAAACAAAUAAAAGGUAGAACUAGUUGACAGACAAAAUUUUAUCAACAUUUUGAAACAACCAACAUUAAAAAGAAAUAAAAAAAUAAAAGAAGAGAUCUAGUAAAAGAAACAUGAGUUUAAUAAUUAAGCUAGAAAAGGAAAGAAUCUUAGUAAGCUUUUCAACAAGAUCCUUUUCAAUGUCCUUUUCGACAAAAUCUUUAUUGUCAAUAUAUUGAAAAAUGAUGGUGGUUGAGUUGUCACUAUGUAUCUCGAAUUUAAGCUUCUGAUACGGUCUUUUAAAAAUAAUUCUGGAUAUUUUAUUUAAAUGGUAACUUUUAAUAGUGGUUAACUUGUAAACAAUUGUUGCCAAAUCAUAAACAAAAUCUUAUUGUCUCACGGAAAGAUACUGGAAAAUAAUCAUGAGUUUAAUAAGCUAGACAAUGAAAGAAUAAUAUAUACAUGUUAUAUAGUAACGAUUGAUUAUUUCUUCUUACCGCUAAGAAAUCUUUUUCUAUGCCUUUUUUCGACAAAAUCUUUAAUGUUAUAUAUUGAAUAAUGAUGGUGAUUAAGUUUCCAUUAUGCAUCUCUCAUGUAAGCCUCAGUCCCUAGAAUUAACUAGCUCUCAGGAUUCCCUGCAUCAGUUAACUACAGCUUCCAGGUUUAUCAAUAAUUAUGGUACACCAUCCUCCAAUAUCUGUGCAUAUAUAUUUUUUAAACAGGAAUUUUGGAGUUUGGAUCAUAUUAAAAUAAAGGAUAAAUUAAAAAUAAGACAAACAUACUCUAAACAUAUUUUAUUUUAUCAUGUAAUAUAUUGAAUUUCAUAUUUUUCUGUCUUUUUAGCUUGUUAUAACGAUCCUUUAUAAGAAAUUAAAUGUAUCUUGAUUCUCUCCCACACUAACUUUAGAAGAGAAAUUAUUUAAUUUGCUUUAUUCUUUUACUACUACUACUGCGUCAAAAUAACCAACAAUUGACGACAACAAUUAUUGAAUAUGUAACAAAUUUACAUACAUUUUGACGACAUCUUUACUUGUUUGUGUUGGCAUCCUUAUUGGCAAAUUACAACAUCGUUCAGUCUUCUUAUAAUUAAGCAAUUGUCUAUGUAACAUAAAUUAUGUAUUAAGAACAUCAAUAUGGCGUGGAGCAUUGCGCAUAGAAGAGAAGAAGUAAAGUCUUAGGCGUCUACUCCAUGUGGGAAACAUGGGAUUAUCACAAAGAGAGAUUUAAAGAUUAUAACAAAAGAGAGAUUUUAACUAACUUGUUAUGGAGGGAUGAGAUAACGAUCAAGUUGGCAUAAUCUGUAGAGAUAACGACGAGUUUGGAAUAAUCAUGUGGUGAUAAUAUUAUGAUAUUCUGCCUUUUGAUCAACUGAGCACGCUCCCUCUCACAACACAACUCUCUUCAUAAGAAUUGGCCAACAUGGAUUGUCACUUUUCAUGUUAAUUUGAUAUUACCUUGAAUGGCAUAUUAAUUUGAUUUGAAAAAUGGAACGAGAGUAGAGGAAAAAAGGAGAAUGAAAAGAAAUAAGAAAAAAAAUGAUGAAUUUCAUAUAAAAAAUCAAAUAAUGAAAUAAUAAAAUUGAGGUCGAUUCUCUUUUUUUUCUCUUUUUUCUCUAAUAAAAAUAUAUCAGAUUAAUGACAAAGUAUUGAUAUUUGAUCCCCUCAGUUUCUCUUAUUAUCUCCCACUUCUCUCAUUUUAAUUUGAAAAGUCAAAAAUACCUACCAAAAUAAUUUUAAGUUUUAAAUUUUACCCUUUCUUCUUUCUCUCCUCUCUCUUAUUCUCCCGACUUCCCUUCAUCUUCGUUUUCUUUAAAAAUUGAAGAUUAGUACACUUUCCUUCAUUUUUUGAUCUUUCUGUAUCGAUGAGAGCAAUAAUUGACAUCAUCAAACAAUCCUUUUCUACCCAAAUCAUGAUUAUAAACAAAAGUAAAAAAUAGCAAUAUCAUGAUAUGGAAUCUUGAUCAUAUCUCAUGAUCCCUCUUCAGCUUCUAUGUUAAUCAAAAGAAAAAAAUAUAAUCGAUUAAAGAUUAAAUUUAAAUUUUAAAAUGUUGUCCUUUUUUUGGGGGGGGGGGGGGGGGAUAAAAAAGAGUUUGAGAUCAAGAUGACAGUGUUGCAUAAAUAAUUAUUAUUAAAAAUUAAAGAAACGGCUUGCAUGUCCCACUUAUUGCUAAGAAGAGAAGUGGUUCGCGCCGGCCAGUUCCAAGAAGACAAGUGGUGGUGUCAGUGCAUGGUUAGUAAUUAUUGGGGACUAGAACUAAUGAUGGUGAUUAAGUUUCCAUUAUGCAUCUCUCAUGUAAGCCUCAGUCCCUAGAAUUAACUAGCUCUCAGGAUUCCUGCAUCAGUUAACUACAGCUUCCAGGUUUAUCAAUAAUUAUGGUACACCAUCCUCCAAUAUCUGUGCAUAUAUAAUUUUUAAACAGGAAUUUUGGAGUUUGGAUCAUAUUAAAAUAAAGGAUAAAUUAAAAAAUAAGACAAACACAUACUCUAACAUAUUUUAUUUUAUCAUGUAAUAUAUUGAAUUUCAUAUUUUUCUGUCUUUUUAGCUUGUUAUAACGAUCCUUUAUAAGAAAUUAAAUGUAUCUUGAUUCUCUCCACACUAACUUUAGAAGAGAAAAUUAUUUAAUUUGCUUUAUUCUUUUACUACUACUGCGUCAAAAUAACCAACAAUUGACGACAACAAUUAUUGAAUAUGUAACAAAUUUACAUACAUUUUGACGACAUCUUUACUUGUUUGUGUUGGCAUCCUUAUUGGCAAAUUACAACAUCGUUCAGUCUUCUUAUAAUUAAGCAAUUGUCUAUGUAACAUAAAUUAUGUAUUAAAACAUCAAUAUGGCGUGGAGCAUUGCGCAUAGAAGAGAAGAAGUAAAGUCUUAGGCGUCUACUCCAUGUGGGAAACAUGGGAUUAUCACAAAGAGAGAUUUAAAGAUUAUAACAAAGAGAGAUUUUAACUAACUUGUUAUGGAGGGAUGAGAUAACGAUCAAGUUGGCAUAAUCUGUAGAGAUAACGACGAGUUUGGAAUAAUCAUGUGGUGAUAAUAUUAUGAUAUUCUGCCUUUUGAUCAACUGAGCACGCUCCCUCUCACAACACAACUCUCUUCAUAAGAAUUGGCCAACAUGGAUUGUCACUUUUCAUGUUAAUUUGAUAUUACCUUGAAUGGCAUAUUAAUUUGAUUUGAAAAAUGGAACGAGAGUAGAGGAAAAAAGGAGAAUGAAAAGAAAUAAGAAAAAAAAUGAUGAAUUUCAUAUAAAAUCAAAUAAUGAAAUAAUAAAAUUGAGGUCGAUUCUCUUUUUUUUCUCUUUUUUCUCUAAUAAAAAAUAUAUCAGAUUAAUGACAAAGUAUUGAAUUGAUCCCCUCAGUUCUCUUAUAUCUCCCCACUUCUCUCAUUUUAAUUUGAAAAGUCAAAAAUACCUACCAAAAUAAUUUAAGUUUUAAAUUUUACCUUUCUUCUUUCUCUCCUCUCUCUAUUCUCCCGACUUCCCUUCAUCUCGUUUUCUUUAAAAAUUGAAGAUUAGUACAACUUUCCCUUCAUUUUUGAUCUUUCUGUAUCGAUGAGAGCAAAAUUGACAUCAUCAAACAAUCCUUUUCUACCCAAAUCAUGAUUAUAAACAAAAGUAAAAAAUAGCAAUAUCAUGAUAUGGAAUCUUGAUCAUAUCUCAUGAUCCCUCUUCAGCUUCUAUGUUAAUCAAAAAGAAAAAAAUAUAAUCGAUUAAAGAUUAAAUUUAAAUUUUAAAAUGUUGUCCUUUUUUGGGGGGGGGGGGGGGGGGAUAAAAAAGAGUUUGAGAUCAAAGAUGACAGUGUUGCAUAAAUAAUUAUUAUUAUAAUAAUUAAAGAAACGGCUUUGCAAUGUCCACUUAUUGCUAAGAAGAGAAGUGGUUCGCGCCGGCCAGUUCCAAGAAGACAAGUGGUGGGUGUCAGUGCAUGGUUAGUAAUUAUUGGGGACUAGAACUGAUUGCCAAGAGUGAGGGUGCAUUUAAUAUUGAGGUUGAGUAACUUUUAAGAUACUGUACUAAAGUGUUUGGUAAACACUAAUUACGGUAGCUUGGAAACUAUGGUGGUAUUUGUUUUUUAACUUAAUGACUUAAAGUGACUUAACUUAAUUAAUUAAGUUAAUUAGAGGUGUUUGUUUUUAUAACUUAAUGAGACUUUUUAGAUAAUUUGACUUAAUAAAAUAAGCUAAUUUUUUGGCUUUUUACUUAAUGGAGAAAUCUGAAUUAAGUUAAUUACUUGCUAAUGUCAAAAAUAUCUCUGUUUUAUAAUUAUUUUUAUGUCUAUCCCAAAACUCACCCAUAAAUAUUUACCCCACAUAAAAAUAUCCCUGUUUUUCUUUCUAUAUUAUAUACGAUAAAAUUUGAAAAUUUAUGGUAUUUAUAUAUUAAAAUUCUAAAAUAAUUAUGUAUUCACGUGAAUAUAGUUUUGCUUAUAAAUGUUAAAAUAUUAUGGUAUUUAAUAUAUUAUUUAUUGACAUUUCAAAUUUAAUAAGGCUACAAAUGUAAAAGUACAUAUUUUCAGCUUUUUAAGUUGAAAAAAACAACAGCUUAAUACUUAUUUUCCGAGAUUCAUACGAAAAAACAAACAUAUUAUUCAGAUUCAGACAUUCAGAUCUAUUAAGAAUUCAGACUAAUUCAGGUUUAUUCAGAUUUUAGAUAAAAAAAACAAACGCCACCUAUGUUAAUAUGAUUUUUUUCUUAUAUAAUAAAAAAUUUAUUAUAUCUUUAAUAAUUUGUCAAAUUAUUAUUUAAAAUUUAUAUAUACUAUAUAUUAUUAAUUUUGUUUCAUAUUACAGUUUUUUUCAUAGCAGUUAUAACUUAAAAGGUAUAGCACCUCAAUUUCAAACAGGACCUGAAUCUUGUUCAACAAGCAACAGAUUUAGCACCGAUGAGAGAAGAACAAAUAUUAAUUUAUUUUUUUUAAUGAGGGCAAUUCUGAAUAUAAUUAUAACUAGUAAAAUGGGAGCUAACGAGAUAAAUUGAGAGGUUUAAUAUCUUUACUCUUAAUAUAAAAAAUAACCACAUCGAAGUGCACUGUUAAAUAAAUAAGUGCCAUCACUAUUUAUGCAAUUUACAUGAUAUUAUGAUUAAUCUUGCAUAUGAUUAUUUAUUAAUAAAAAUAUGUAACAUGUGCUAGCACAUACUAUUUUCCUCUAAAUUUCUUAUACCACAUUUUUUCCUAUAAAUAGAAAGAGGCACACGUCUUCCACGCAAAUCACACAAGUAAGACUUAGUAUAAUUAGAAACAUGAAUCUCAAAGCUUUCUUUGUUCUCUCCGCAGUGCUCUCUUUGCUUCUCUUGGUAUAUAUGCAUCUCUUUUUUAGGAAAAUUUAACAUAAAGGAUACCUAAUUAAGUUAGUUUUGAUGAGAUUCUCUUUAUCAUUUGUUUGAUCUAAUUUUUUUUUUUCCUCUUGUUCAGUUUGCUAACAGAACAGAGGCCAGAAAAGAUCAGGGAGAAUAUUGGAGAGGCUUCGUCAAAGAUAGCGACGUGCCAGAAUCAAUUCAAAUUCAUGUUCGCCAGGAUCCUGUCUCAACUGCCUCUGAUGCCAAAGCCCACUGCAAAGAACCUGAAGAUUUAGAGCACAAGAGAGAAAAGACUUAUGUCAAGGAUUCUGACGCAACGAUUGAUAUCUUAGUUUAUCACAACAGUAUUAAACCAACUGAACAAAAGUUAUUUGGCAACCACUUCGAAAGCCCGGAUGCUACAAUUUACCACAAUGACAUUAAACCAACAGAACAGAAGUUAUUGGCAACCACUUCGAGUCAAGCCCGGAUGCUACAAUUUACCACAAUGACAUUAAACCAACAGAACAGAAGUUAUUUACCAACCACUUCGAGUCAAGCCCGGAUGCUACAAUUUACCACAAUGAUAUUAAACCAACAGUACAGAAGUUAUUUGCCAACCACUUCGUGUCAAGCCCGGAUGCUACAAUUUACCACAACGAUAUUAAACCAAUUGAAAUGAUUAAAUCUUUUGUUAGCAAAUUCUUGUCAAACCCUGAUGCUACAAUUUAUCAUGAGUAACCAGACUCUGCUUUCAAUCGUGUGGAGAGAGCCCGUUAUCCAUCUGUAAUAUUUGUGCGUACGUGUGAUGCUCUCUUUCUAUAAAUAAGUUAUGAGGAGUGCGGUUGUUUAAUGCUCUAAGGCACAAGCUUUGUAAGAAAGUGUGUUUUUAUUGUAAAAUUGAAUAAAAAUUUGUGCCAAGUUAAUUAAUUAUCCCUUUUCUAGUGAUUUUUUUUUUUCUAAUGCUUUGAUUAUUUCCACAAAAUCUUUCGUAAGGAAAGGCCUAGCUACUUGAAUCAAUUUUCUCCAUUUCAACGUUAUUUAGUAUAAUAAUAAUACAAAAAAUCAUUAAUCUCAGUAAUUGAUAAACAAUAUUCUUGCUAUUAUAUUGAGAAUUAAUUCCUAAUCUGAGAAAAUAAAUUAACAAUUAAAAAAUAAUAAAAGAUCGUGAACUACUUAGAUUUAUGGCCCUCUCACAUGUCGAUGGUACUUUACAUAAUUAGAAGCCUUUUUAUUAAUUUUAACAGACACCAUUCAAUCAACUUUGGUGACAUACUGAUAAUUGAUGCAAAAUUCUAUUUGGGGAAAAAAAAGUAAAAGAAAGAACUCCUAUUUUAGCUCUUAAAUCUUAAUUUUUCAAAUUUUAGAAGGAUUAAUGAUCAACAUUAUUUAGCCUAUUUUAUUUAAUUUAUAACUAUAGAAAUCCUAAAGCUGAUGGAGUAUACUUAAUACCUUAUUUUCCCCAAUCACAACCGUCUAAAUUCCUGAAACAUUUCAUUUCUUAAAUUUCAACGGUACAGAUUAAUUCUCUUACGAAAACUCAGCGACUUAUCCUGGACCGCCGCUACUAAAAUACAUAAGAGUAAAAUACUAUAGUAUUCCGGGACAAAUUUAUUUCUUCCACGACGCAAUAAAAUGCUGCGUCCAAUAACAUUCUGUUUCCUAAAGCUUACCCAAAUCGCAGAUAGGAACAUGGUUUGCAAUAAUUUUUCUAACAGAUCCUGCAUCAAAUUCGUUAAAAACUGGUUUAAUUUUUAUUAAAUAAUUUUAAGUAAAUUGAAUAAGAUAAAAAAUUUAAAAAGUUAUUAUUUUAUAAUGAAAAAGCUAGAUCAUCCAUACGUAAUAAAAAAUAGUACGCAUUCACAACUUAAUGCAAUAUAAUCUAGACAACCAAAUAUAUUUUAUGUAUUUUUUACAAAUUGCUUUUAGUAUAAGCAAAUAAGGUGGUUGUCUAAACAUUCAUAUUUUUGGAAGGUCUCAAUUUUUAAUAUUUUCUUAAUAAUUUCUAAUUAAUAAAGAUAUUUUUUUAACUUAUGUAUUGUAGAAAAACCUAUUAGACAUUUUUAUUAUUAACAACUAUACUACAAUUAAGAGUCUUUUUUGUAUAGAAAAUCAAUAUUUGUAACCUUAUUGAUAAAGAGAAAUGAUUAAUAAUAUUUUUAACCAUUAAUUCAUUCAUUAUUAGUUUUCUCAAGAAAAAAAGUUAAAUUCUUUACCUUUUCAUUUCCUAAAAAAAACUUGAUUAUUUAACAUUGAAAUCUUUGACUUUUAUUAUUCCUUUAGUUUCUAUUAGAACCUUAUAAUAUAAAAAAUCAAUAGAUAAAAAAAAUUUGUUCCUCCUUUCUUUACGAAGAAAAUUAUUAUAUUUAUUGGUUAAUUUAAAAAAGAAAAAUUAGUUUCUUGAAGUAUGAAGACCAUAUCUAUUAUCUGAUAAUCAAUUCAUGAUCUCGACUUUCUAGCUAUAUUCUGUCAUUCUAAAUAUUUUAUUUGAAAAUAAUAUUGUUUUAUUUAUUUGUUUGUUUGCUUUUUAAGAGUUCUGAUGGAAGUAAAAAAAACAAAUCUUUUUUACUAAUUUUUUAGGUUUUUUUUAAAAGAUUUUUUAAGAUAUUUUUUUAUUACUGUUAAAAUUUAAGAAUUAAAGAUAGAAUGAAUUUUUGAGUCUUUUCAUAUUUCUUUGAGUAUUGAAAUUACAAAAUAAAAUAUGGCCUUACAAAAAAAAAAUUCGCCUAAGACCCCAUAUACUCUAAUGCCGACUCUGGGUGAAAUUAUUGAUUUUAUUAAUAAUAAUAUGAUGUAUACUAACCAAUGUACAAAACAGUAGUGGGUGACAUAAAUUAGAAUUGUGUUGCAAAAACAAGAGGUUUGAGUGAAAAAGAAUUUACAAACUCACAUUACAAUGUUAUAUAGUUGCCAUAUGUCUCACAUUUUCAAAUGAACAAAAUAUAAUAAAUACAGUAUAAUCUUUAUAACUGAAUAUUCAAUAGAUUAAUAAUCUCUACUGUGUAAUAAUUUUUUAUGGUCAUGACUUAGGCCAAUAGGUUAAAUUAAUAAUUGCAAUAAAUUAAUAAGAUGAUAUUUUUUAUGAAAACCCUUAUAUAACUAUGUGGCUCCAUUCAUAUCAAAAUUAAUAAUUUUUUAAAAUUAUAAAUAUAAUUGACAAUAAUUUUUUAUUUAUUAAAAUGUGAGUCGAUUAUUAUCUUGUUCCCUUAUUACUUCUUUUCCUUGAAAUAUAAAUCUAUUUGAAUCUCGUAUCUAAUUUUUCUUAUUACAUCUAAAAGUUUUGGGAUUGAAUUCUUGAAUUAUAAUAAAAAAAAAAUUAUGAAGUGCUUUCGUACACAUAACUGGCUCCAAAGCAAUUGUAUCAUUCUCAACUUUUAUCAUCGACAUGAUUUUAAGUGAUGUCAGCAGUGGUUUAAUUUAUUCUAAACUUAAAAUCUCUCAACUUACAUCAUUUUUAUUAUGAUAAUCCAAGAGGUAAUUAAGUAGAUAAAUACAAUACAGUUAUUGUUUUGGUUUAUCUAAUAUCUAUUUAGUAGAUUAAUUCAUAUUCAAUAAAUUAGAUUAGUAAAAUAUAACGAAAUUUUAGUUAAUUAAAUGUACGUUUAUUGAACUAUAAAUGAACUCUAGAAAUUAAUAAAUUAUUAAUUUACUAAUUACAUAAUAAUUCUUUUAAUUAAUAAAAUUUAAAUAGUCCCAAUGUUAUUAAUUCAUAGAAGUUAUAUGAAAUAUGUGUCAACUAUAUAAUAUCGUAGUUUGUAAACAAAACAUAACUCUUUUGUUAAUUGAAUACUAACGUAAUGCUAUAGAAAUAACAUAUGUGACCAAUUUGCAUAAAUGUAUACUCUCUGUAUCUUAUUACAAAUGCUUUAUAAAUCAGUGACUCAGAUGUUAUUAUCUAAACUCGUGGAAGCAUUACUUUUGUCCCUGCCAAUAUCAUUCAGAUAAAUAGUUGUUGUGCGUUCAGAUUCACCAGGAAUGCUUACGCAAAACAUAGACUGAACCCAAGAGCUUCGAAACUCGAAACUGAACCAAAUCAUUCUAAUGGAAGAGAAACGCCGGGAAGCCAGAGCGCAACCGCGGCUACGAGCUCGGCCGCAGCUGGAGCCGAGUCAGCGGCAUCCGAGCCGGCUUCGCUCGGCGCCGAGCCGGAGCGCACAAAAGGAAAGCCUCGGCGCUCUCAGCGACUAACGCUUCAUCCACGCCGUCGAAGCGCAUGACUCGCGAGAAGAAUUUAGUUGCUCACACUCCGAUCUACAACCAUAACGUUACAUCUUGACAUUUGUAGUAAGAACGUGAGAGGAUACCUGGAGUGUAUUGGGAUUUGGGCGGAAGAGAAAGGAGCCCUUGGAAUUGGGAAACAAAUGAAAUUAUCUGCAUGGUCCUUGUACUCGUGGAGGGACUGUAACUUCUGAACCAACAAUGCUGAAAAUGCAGGGUCAAAAAUCAACAUUAACUUGAUGAAUAAUUGUUUGAAAAAAAAAAAAAGCAAGAAAACUUGAUUAAUAUAAAAGAGAGCAAAGGAGCACAACCAUACAGAAGUUGUAUAAAGGAAUAUUAAUCAAGCUUGAUUAAUAUUCUUCUUCUAUCCAACACCACAAGAUGAAACACAGUAUUCCUGUUGCAGUAUAUGGUGAGAACUGUGAAGUGCAGGAAGUAGUUUCCUAAGAGAGAUGAUUGAAUGCUCUUAAUUUUUUUUUUCAGAAAAUCAUUUUAUUUUUAAUAAAAGUUUAAUUUUUUUUAAUAAAAAUUUUUAUUUAUUUUUUAUUAAGUUGUGUCUCAUAUUUACUAAUAAAGGAAGUUAUUUGGGUAUAUAAGUAGGAUGUCUCAUCUAACAUGCUAGUAGGAUAAAUCUCUCAUCUAAUAUGCUAGUAUUUUGGGUUAAAUACCUAUAAAUUCUAAGCCGAGUCCACAACAGUCCCCAAAAUAACUGGAUUUAAGUCCUAGCUACACCAGUAGAUUGAAUAGAAGUGCAAAUAAGUUUAACUUUUUUGUCAUUCAUUUUAGUCUUUUUUUUUUUUUUUUUCACAUACAUUGAAAAAGGAUAACUCUGUCGUGAUUGCCAUGGCAGAGCCUAUUUCAAACGAUGGUGUAUGCUAAAGGAAAUUAUCAUGAGAUGAGUGAUAAACCAUACAAUCAGUAGCUACAGCCCACGAUUAAUCAGCCACAUGGCCACAAAUAUUAUUGGCGGCAAAUAUAUCAACAAAAUCACAAUAAAGAUGAGCAUCCUCGAUUCCAUUCCUUAAUGUAAAUAGGACAGCCUGUCUAGCCAUUACUUUAAGAGAUUUGGCUGGCUUUGACACUUGUAUAUAAGCUUGUAACCCUCUCAUUCUUUACAAGAAAUAAGAUAAUAUUUUCAGCUUAAUAAUUCUUUUCAGUGAGAUCAAAGAAAUGUAAAGAGAUAUAGUCACUACUACAAAAAUGUAAAACAAUGACCCAUAUGUUAUGACGGUUCUUCUAAACAACCGUCAUUAAAGAUAUUUAAUGACGGUUAUUAUGUGAACAGUCAUAAUAUAUACCACUUAUAAUGACGGUUAUGUAAUAAAACCGUCAUUAAAUGUCAAAUAAAAUUUACACUUAGUUUUAAUGACGGUUCAUUUAUAAAAACCGUCAUUAAAAGUCACUAUUUUUAAUGACGGUUCUUAUAUACAACGGUCAUUAUAUGUGUAGUUAAAAAUAAUAUUACUUUUAAUGACGGUUUUUUAAUAACCGUCAUUAAAAAUAAUAAUUUUUAAUCACGGUUUUUACAUAUAACGGUCAUUAUAUGUGUAAUUAAAAUAGUACUACCUUUAAUGACGGUUUUUUUAAAACCGUCAUUAAUAAUUUUUAAUGACGAUUUUUACAUUAAACGGUCAUUAUAUGUGUAAUUAAAAUAAUACUACCUUUAAUGACGGUUUUGUUAAGAACCGUCAUUAAAAAUAAAUUUAUUUUUAAUGACGGUUCUUAACAAAACCGUCAUUAAAAAUCAUACUUUUUAAUGACCGUUAUAUAUUAUAACGGUCAUUAUAUAUAUAAUUAAAAUGCUUUUAAUUUUAAUGACGGUUCUUUAAGAACCGUCAUUAAAAAUUGACAUUUUUAGUGACAGUUGUAUAAAACAACCGUCAUCGUAUAUAUUGAUAUAGUUAUAAAAAAAAAAAAAAAUUGGCCUUAUACUGAACACCAAAUCCCUAAAAUUACAGAUAAUUUGUAAACAUUAAAAGUAAUGGCGCAAGCACGCACGCCGCCGGUACACUUAGCCCAUGCAGCAGCAACCGAGCACGGUAGCAACAGGCCACCAGCAGUCGCUCUCUCUCUCACGCACACGCAGCAGCAAGCCAACACCAAUAGCCCCUCUUUCUCAUGCUCACUCUCUACUAUGCCCUCUUACGUACUCAAGAAAACUCUAACCCAUAUCCAAACCCUCGCCGUCGAAGAAAACCCAAUCCUUAAUGGCUUGAAAUUAAAGCCUCCACCGUCAAUCACCAUCGAACCAAAUAAACUCUAGCCUUACCAUCACUCUUCGUUUGACUCGCUGAAGAAAGCACUCUAUUAGGUGAGUCUCUGUUGUUUGAUAAUAUAUCUGCACUCUUUGUUGGCCGAAGCUUUUAGACAAUUGCUUUGAUUCAAUUGCUUCGAUUGGUUAGUUCUCUGUGAUUAAUUAGUUAGUUACUUUUAAUUUCAUAUUUUCAUCUCUAACAGUGAAUUUGGGAGUCGAUUUCUCUGUCGGAUUUGUAAUUUUUGCUACAGAUCAAAAACAUCUUGAAGGUGUUUUCAUAUCUAACAACUUGAACUAUCAUUUAUUUUGUCUUGUUAAUGUUCAAUUUUUUUUUCUUUUUUUAUUAGUAUGACAAUUAGUCGAAUGUGCUUGCACAUAAAACAAUCUUUUAACUUGGCGUUGGAAUAUUUGUUUUGAGUUGUGUCCCCUUAAUCAAUGACCAUACAAAAGUUCCCCAUGAUAAAGUGUUUAGCCCUAUUAAUGCCAUAAAGUCUUGCUCUCAAUUUUUCUGAUUAUGCCUAUGGAUUGAUUACCUAUUUCAUUUACAAAUUCAAUUGGCAAAUGUACAAUGCCUGCAUGACACUCACAUUUGGGUUAUGAUGGUAGUCAUUAUGAGGAAGAAUGUUAGAAUAACAUCAGGGGAAACAUCUGGGAGAAGGUAUGUACUGUCAAGCUCUUUGUUAGAAUCAUCACGAAAUUUAUAUUGGAUCUUGGCUGUUCUAUGUGAUGCAUUUUGGAUUUGCUCUUACUAGACAUGCAAAAACCUGUAAAAUGUAUUUUUUUUUUCCAUUUUAGAUUUACUAUCUAGUAUCUUGUAGGUUUAAUCUAAAAUAGAAACCAUUGAGGAUACUGGACACAAUUCUAAUGAAGAGAAAAGAUGUUAGACUUUAGUAUUCAACCUUUUUUUUUUAGCCAUAUUUCUAGACCCCAAGUUUAUGUCAUGAUAAUUGUGUGAUUGAUAAGAUAUUUUGGUUUUGGACUUUAUCUCAUGGAUUUAGAGUUCGAUUAUAUUUGGAAGUGGAAUAAUGCAUUCAUUUACAUAUGAUGUUUGAUGAAGUUCCCAUAAAAUUAAUUCAAUUAUAUAUGUUUAUGGUUCUAAGGAAGCGGGGCAAAAAUUUUAUCAGUGGGUUGAUUUCACUAGUUUAAGUUAGUAAAGCAAAGAAAUUGUCUUUAUGCACUUUAACUUUCCUCCAUUUAAGGUGAAAAAAUUAUUGAAGCUUUUAGAAGUGAAUUGUUCAUUUUGUUUGUGCACUUAUGCAGAUGGAUUUACUUUUGGCUGCUUAACCCUUCCUCACUUAUAUUUUUUCAGUUUAAAUUGCAGUGUUUUGCUGCUGUGCAACAGCACAAGAGGCUGUUUUAUUGUUGUUUCUGUAAAAACACAGCACCAGGAAGCGUCCAGGUAAUGUUUCGCUGCUGUUAUGCAGUAAAAACAACACCUGAAAGUUUCUAGGUGCUAUUUUUACUGCUGUUUACGCAGAAACACAGCACCUAAAAGUGUCUCUAGGUUCUGUUUAGCUGCUAUUAUGCAGCAAAAACAGCACCUGGAAACUUCCAAGUGCUGUUUUUAUUGCAUUUUAUGCAGAAACAAAGCACCUAGAAGCAUUCAAGGGUUGCUUUACUGUUGUUUUGUAUUUAAAAUUGCUGUUAGAAAUUUUGGGUGCUAUUUCUCUGAAAUUUUGCUAUUAACAGUGCAGCUUAAUAAUUUCAUAUGUCGUUUUGAACCUUCUUCAGUUCUUUUCUCUUAUGUCUAUACUUAAUCUUUUCCCCCCUGGUAAUAAGCAGGUACAAUUUUUGCAAGGUAAUAUCUAAGCAUGCUGUUAAUUCUUUGGUUGAGACGUAGUAUUCUAAACUUCAGGCCUUAAUUUUUUUAUUUCCAAGUGUAUAAUGGGUAGGUACUGGAUCUCUUAUGGAUGAUGUAGUUAAUGCUUUUUUAUUGUCUCUAUUUUGGCAAAUGUGUUGUCAUUUAUUAUCUGAACACAUGGUUGAUUAACUUACUUGAGGUAAGUCUAUUAAUUAAUAGUGAUAUGAUACUUUAAAGUCUUGUUUUACAACUUAAGUCACUAAAAUGAUUUAAUAUUUAUGAUUUAUAAUAUAUGAAUAUAUCUUAAUUUCUCUUUAUUCUUUGUAAGAAUGAUGUAGAUUGCUGAAGCUGGUGAGAUUCAUUUGCAAUUGAAGACUUGAUGAGAAAUUAGAUGUACUCACACAUGCCAAUCUUGUUGGUUGCUAGUGCAUUCACUAGUAGAAGUUUAAUGAUUGUUGGAGAUUUUUGUAGAGCUAUCUCUUUGUAAAUGAAACAUUUGCAUCAUUUUGAAUAUGAAACAUUUGUGAAAAAUAAUUGUAAAGAAUUUAAUAUGAAAUUAGAAUUAAAAUAGGGGCUUGAAAUAGCCUUAAAUUUGCCAAAUUUAUUUUUUUAAUAAUAAAUAACAAAGAUGACGGUUAUUUCAAAAGAACCGUCAUCAAAUGUAGUGUUCUAUAACAAAUAUGACGGUUUUCUUCUAAAACCGUCAUUAAAUGUUGUUUCAAUAUUUAAUGACGGUUCUUACAAUAAACCGUCAUUAAAAUGACACAUUUAAUGACGAUUAUUUAGAUAAACCGUCAUUAAAGAUAGAUAUUUAAUGACGGUUCUUACAAUAAACCGUCAUUAAAAUGACACAUUUAAUGACGGUUAUUUAAAUAACCGUAAUUAAAAAUAUACAUUUAAUGACGGUUAGUGAACCGUCAUAAAAAACAUACCCUCUUUAAUGUCGGUGCCUAAGAUGACGGUUUUAAAACCGUCAUCUUAUGUCGUUUAAAACCGUCAUAAAAGACCAAUUUUGUAGUAGUGAGUCUAUUAGGUUGGCAAAUCUACUGAAACAAUAUUGUUUCCUAUCAACUCCGAAAUACAACCAAUUGAACAACGUUCAGAAAUCGAAAAUCAUUUAUUACCAGUAAGAUUUAUUAUUAUACGCUAUACAUAUGGCUUUAACAGUCACAUUACCAAUACAUUUUUAAUCAUGGUAGGUAGGUGCUGGAAUGUAUACAAUAUUAUCAGCCUGGAAGAAAUGGCAGACAUGGGAGCUCCCUGGCUCGAUCCCAAGCACACGAAACGAUGCAUGAUCUCGACUCCAAUGAGACGUAUCCAUGUGGCAAACUGCUACAGCUUCCACUCUAUCUCCAUUAUCACCACCUAAUGAAACACCGAAUAACUUGUUCUCAGUCAUUUGGCUGUGGCAGUAGAAGAUUGCAUAAGGGUAAGGCAUGAUAUGACAUGCCACCAUCUUGGGAGCAACCAUUGGUUUAGGCACUUGUAAAAUAGUGUAAUUUUGGAAAAUGGUAGCUGAUUUUGUGAGAAAUUUUGUGCUUAGAACUUCGAAUUUGGUCUCCAAUCCGAAAGUUCCGUGUACAAAAUCAAGCAUGGAUUCCAAAGAGGUAGCACAAAUUUUGGUUUCUCCUUCGAUGGGAGGAACUUCGCAAUGAUUCAGGGUCCCUUCCAUGGCUUUGGCUAGGGGUGAGUCAUCUGAGAACGAGAAGAAUUGAAGAAGGUAAGGCAGUUGUUUCAAUGAAAAUGGAAUGGAAUCUGCUUCUUCUCUAGGCAAAGCCUGAGGAUAAGCUGAAGGAUCUCUCUUGCGAAAAAUAAAUCGGCAUCGUUUCGCCAAUCUUUAGAUCCUUCAAGGUGAAGAACACCAUCGUUGAAGGGUCCAUGUGAUUCAUGUGGGAUGGUAUUGAAUGAGAAUCAUGAAGAUUCUCCGAAAGCACCUGAGCACACUGUAAAACAGUUGAGCAAUUCAAUAUGACAACAUAGAUGAAAAAUCAACAACACAAGUUCUAUAAAGUGUAAAACUGAAGGAGCAAAAUAUAUCUUUUUGAGUUAUUGCUUUAAGACAACACUUAUGUACAUCUAUUGCAAAGUAAGCACUUCCUUAGCACACAUUGAGGAUUAUUACCAGAAAGAGUAGAGAAAGAAGGAGGUUCCAAACUGAAAAUCUUAACCCCAUCUCUUUUCUAUUAUCGAAGUUUCUUAUGUAUUUUAGUAAUCUUUUUGUUUUUUUUUUUAAGGGAGAGGAAACACAGAUAACAAGUGAAGCAGAAAGAGAAGAGAUUGUGUAACUGUAUAUGUCAACAACCAAAUGAUGUGUGUUAAUUUUCAAGUGGAAAUUUAUAGCCUGCAUAAGCUGAACUUGUUCUACUGUGCUGAUUAAUUGAAUCACAACACAGUUUGAAUAAUGACCUUAAUAGUCCAAUCCAGCAAAGAAUUCAGCACUCCAAUCAUAUGGGGACACACGUAUUGUACCUUCAUCAUGUCUGCGGAUUUUAAUAGUUUUGACUGAGUGAAGGAUUACUUCAAUUGAUAACAUUGCAUAUUAGAUUACCAGACCUAAAAUUGAUUUCUUAUUAAAAAAUUUACUUGCAAUUUGGAAACUCUCUUUGACACAUUAAUUACAGACUCGAAAUCUGUAUCAAUAUUCCCCAUACAUAGACGGAACUGAGCAGAAAAAGUGGGAAGGCAGAUCGUAAACAAAUUCGACAUGGUAGUUUCCAAGGAUGAAUAGCAUUUUUUUCAUUCGAAAAUGGGAUAAUAUAUCCUUCAGUCACGUAAUGUACACUAUAUAAGGUGGCGUUUGGUUGGGAGGAGAGAACAAAGGAGAGGAAAGUAAUUUAAAUUUUCUUUUUAUUUUCAUUGUUUGGUUUGACAAAAUAUAUAAGAAUUUAAUUUCCAUUAGAAUUUAAUAUCCAUCAUAAUUUGAAUUACACACCAAGUAGUGAAGAAUUUAAAUUCCUUGUAUGUUAGAAACUAAAGUUUCCAAAAUUACUCUUCAACUUGUUUAAUGUCAUUAAUAAUUAUUAUUUAAUAUUAUAAAUGGAUCACCGCCGGAAAGUCGUCGGACUACCGCCGGAAAGUCACUGGAAAGUUACCGGGCCACCCCGGGAUGUUGCCGGAAAGUCACUAGACCACUACCGAACGUUGACGGACGUCGCCGAACGUCGCCGGAAUCCUGCCGAACGUUGCCAUAAGGUAGUUUCCAAGGAUGAAUAGCAUUUUUUUCAUUCGAAAAUGGGAUAAUUUAUCCUUCAGUCACGUAAUGUACACUAAAUCUCUUCUCAACCUAGUGUGCGUCGGAUAUGUGAGUGUCGGGGCUCCAGUCUCCCGUACAAUCUUUAAAAAUUUUUUUGGUCAAAUUAACAGGCUGCACUCACUGUAUUUCCAUGGAUCACACUACUUCAACUAAAAGAUAAGAUAAUAAGUAUAUUUAGGAUUUUACGGAAUGAUUUUUAAGUAGUUUUUAUUAAUUAAUUAUUCAAAUUCGAAUUAAAAAAAGACUAAAAAAUUCAUCAGAAUUUUUCUCACUCCCAAUCUUUCAAAAUAUAACAAAUAAUAAGUCAUAUAAAAAAUGUUUUAAACGCAAUUUUCACUUCAAACAUAUUUCAUUUGAAGUUUAAUUAUAUUCUCCGGUGGAACCUGGAUAAGUUGAAACAAAAUUUUAUUAAUAAAAAAAAAUGUACAUCUAAUUGUCUUACGAUGGGUCAAGAACAAAAGGUUAAAGGAUAAUAUACGUGGACAUGAUAAUGCAGAAACCGAGAAUCAAAAGGGCACGAGUUUCAAAUGCUAGACAAAUGAAAGAGACGUGUGAUUGCAGGUCGAUUUUCUUCUCAUCACUAGCCACUAGCACACAUCCCCUUAAUCAAAAUCUUUUUCAAUAUUGUUUAUUAUAUAAAUGGAUAUUGGUAGUGGUUGAACUUCUAUUAUUUAAUUAUGUUGUCAUUUUCCAUCACUACAACAACAGAUGAUUCAUGUAGGAUCGGUCAAUAAUUGUCGCCCAAUGUUUUUGUCUUUUUCAUAAUUUAGUUAUUUUUGUUCAUAUGUCUGACGAAGAAGUUUUAAUUUUGCAAGAGGAAUUCAAGUUGAUAAGACCUUGUCGACUUGUCUUCUGCUGAAGAAUCUUGAAUAAUCAUGCCAAAUUCAAAAAGUGGCAAAAGCAAAAGGCUAACUUCUUAAUGAAUUCAAUAUUAUUAUGAAUUUGGUGCUAGCUCAAUCUUGAAAAUGAUCCAAAAAUUAAAAAGUAAACAUAUAAUAAUCACAUCUACAAAUGUACAUUAUUAGUGAGUCAUUGAUGAUAUAUCACGAAUUCAUUAGCUGAUUAAUUAAAGAUACCACGAAAAUAUUAUAUCAUUAGCUGGUCUAAAAAAGUAGUCAAUAAGAAAAUGAAAGGUAAAUUCAUAAAUUUCAGCCGGAAAUUUUUUUUUAAAAAAAAAGGGACCAAUAAUUGUAGGAAAUGGCUAGCUUCUUAUCCUCUUCACAAAAGAUUAAAUCCUCUUGAAAAGGUUUGUUACUGAAAUACAUAUUAUAUUACACCAACACUCUCUAUUACCAUAUGAAUUUAGAUCUUCCCCUAACUUAAUAUUUUAUAUAAUGUUGUAGGAAUAAUCUUCAUCACCAGAGAUUAGGAUCUUCUCCUAACUUAAUAUCUCAUAAGUGUUGUAUGAGAUUAUUUAGCACAUGUCAUUAUAUUUUUCUAAAGCUAAGAUUUAAUUUACUUUAUACUUUCCUUAUUAAACAUUAAAACCAAUAAUUUUCUAGGCUAAGUAAAACCCUGAAAUUCAAGUGUGCCGCUUUCUAGCUAACCAAACUGCUGCUUCUUUCUCUACCGGGUUUUUUUUUUUUUUUUUUUUUGCCACAAACUUUAAACUUAGGUAUAUAUAAACUUGAGCAAAGAAGCAUUAUUGGCAAUUAAUUCUUGUAAGAAUUGUUUAUGUAAUGGAAUCAGACUAGAACAGAAUGCAUUAUUGUUCGAUAUACGUAGUCUACAAUAACAAUUGAAGACACCUGAAGAUAAUAUCAAUUAUAGACAAUUUUUAUUGCAAUAUAUUCAAUGCAUUGUUGCUAUCGCGUGUCUGUAAUUAAUUUUACAUAAAUUAAGCUGAUAUAUCUCAUUUCAGUGUACUAAUAAUUAAGUUGAACGUUGAUGCAGCUACUGCUAUUUCCAGGAACACAGCUUUUCUAGGAGCCAGUAGUCGUAAUGUGAGAGGGGAGAUUAAUUAUGGCAGUAGCUAUCUAAAGUAAAAUUUUGGAGAUAUUGAAUUCGUUGAAGCAGAAGCAAUGACAUUUGAGAUCGAAAUAUGCAAACGGCACGGGUCUAUUUCCAUUAAUUAUUGAAUCAGAUAUUCAGAAUGUUGUCAAUCUUGCUGCAUCACUUGAAAGUACUAGAAAAUAGAUUCUUUGAGUGAUCUCUGAUAUUUAAUUGUUGGCUAGACAACUGGCAAUUUCAAAUUUGUAUUCAUUCCUAGAAUAUGUAACGUGGAAGUUCAUAGAUUAGCUAAACUUGCAGUUAGCUAUCAGAAAGCCGUAUUGUUUGGAUUGAGAAUAUUCCUAUAGAUGUAAAAUCUUAUCAUUUUUAAAGAAUUUUUUACUUUGAAAGUAAAAUAAUUAAGGGCCAUCUCUAUCGUUGUUAGGGAUGGCAAAAUCCUCCACGGGUUUGGGGCCCCAUGGAGCCCCACCCCAAAUGGGGAAAAUUUUGAAUAAUUUUUGGGGAAUGGGGUGUGGAGUGGGGAGAAAAUAAUCCCCAAAUUCUUAAUGGGGUGGGUUUUGGUUUUGUACUCCCCACCUCAAUCCCCAUUAUAUAUAAAUAUGUUUUUAAUUCUUAUUUAAUAAUUUUUAUUUUAUCAAUUAUAAUGUCAAUUAAUAAUUUUUUUUUUAAUUUUUAUGCAAUAUAAACAAGAUAUGAAUGAAAGAAAAUCCUAUAAUAUUUUUCAACUCUGAAACAUUGUUAUAUUUUUUUUUCUCUUUUAAGGUGCUACGCUCUUUAAAUAUUUUUCACUUUUAAUAUCAUUUUAAGAUAUUGUUUCAAACUUUUAGAUAUUUUUUUAAAAGAAUUUAAAUACUUUAUAAUAUGAUGAUGAUUUUAUUUUAAAUCUCUAAUUUUUAACUUACUAAAAUAAUAUAUUUAUACAUAUUAUAAAAUAAAUAAAUGGGGAAUGGGGUGGGGAUGGAUAAAUCAUUCCCCACAUGGGGAUUCUCCAUCCCCACUCCACUAAAAUUAUUAGGGAAUGAGGUGGGGAAUGGAGACAAAAAUUUCUAACAGGGUGAGGAAUGUGGUAGGCCUCCCCACCCCCACCCCACCCCAUUGCCAUCCUUAAUCGUUGCGAAUUGCAAUUCUCAUAGACUAUGCGGUCCACAUUAUGAGUUUUAAAUUCUUGCAUGAUUAAUCACCCACAUGAGCAUGCUCCACCAACCUGCCACAUCAUGUUACCACUUCUUCCAAUCUGUGUAUAUAUACACGCACACACACCAGUAUGGCCUCCAUGCAAAUUACAAACGCAGUAUCUAAUAUUGUUUGUCACUGGCCAGAAACAUGAAUAUUAAAGCCUUCUUUGUUCUCUCCACAGUGCUCUCAUUGCUUCUCUUGGUAUGUAUCAUUUGAUCAGUAAUAAUGUUAGGUUAAUCACAAAUUCAUUACAUAAAAUAUUUUGUACAAAAUUGAUAACACAAAUGUACAGUAUCGAUGUGAUGAGAACACCACACAGCCCGAUCAUUAUUUUGUAUUUCUAUUCAACCAAUACUAUUUUAUCACAUCAGCUUUAAGAGUAGCUUAAUUAUAGCUAGCUCUAGCAUUACUCGUUUUGAUUCAAAUGAUUUUCGAAUUUUUAUCAUUCGCAUGGUCAAUAUAUAGUUCCUCUUUCUUUUGUUUUUCCCCCUCUUAAUUGUUUUCCUUGUGUGCAGUUUGCCAACAUGAUAGAUGCGAGAAAAGACCUGAGAGAUUAUUGGAGAACUGUCGUGAAAAAUCAAGACAUGCCUGGGGAAUCAACUCAAGGUCUCAUUCCUGAAGAUCAAGCCUCGACCGUCUCUAAAACCACUGCCUAUUGCCAUACACAUGAAGAUUCUGAGCACACCAUGGAGAAGCCUUUUGUCAAUAAGAACUUUGAGCUGAUGCCUGAUGUUUCAAUCUAUGACAACGGCGUUAAGCUGACGAAACAAAAGGCUUUUGUCAAGGACCUCGAGCUAAUGCCUGAUGUUUCAAUUUAUGACAACGGUAUUAAACCAAAGGAUAAGCAGAGAUCCUUCGCCAAGAACUUCGAGCUCAUGCCUGAUGUUUCAAUUUACGACAACGGUAUUAAGCCAACCAAACAAAAGGCUUUUGCCAAGCACUUCGAGUUCUUGCCUGAUGUUUCAAUUUACGACAACGGUAUUAAGCCAACCAAACAAAAGUUCUUCGCCAAGGACUUCGAGCUCAUGCCUGAUGUUUCUAUUUAUGACAAUGGUGUAAAGCUAGCCAAACAAAGGUUCUCCGCCAAGGACUUCGAACUCAUACCUGAUAUUUCAAUUUAUAACAAUGGUGUAGAGCUAGCCAAACAGAAGGCAUUCGCCAAAGGCUUCGAGCUCAUGCCUGAUGUUUCAAUUUAUGACAAUGAUAUUAAACCAUCGAAGAAGAGUUCAUAUGCCAAGGACUUUGAGCUGAAGGCUGAUAUUUCAAUUCAUGAACCGACCGAACAAAA
rnacentral:lncRNA from 1 species